rnacentral:lncRNA from 1 species
UGGCAUCUAAUGAUAAAAUGUUAAAAAAAUAUUAAUAAUAGAAUGGAUAAUUUCUCUACUGCCAUCAAGAAUCAAAUUAGCUUUAAUAAAAUGAUUGAAUCUCAGUUAAAUCAAAUAGCUGCUGCUGUUCCUACUACUAACCUCGGUAUACCAUCACAACCGGAAGGAUUAGAAUCUGCAAAUCUUGUAGACAUGUUUGAUGCAGGUAACUACUGGAGUAACCCCGUUAUGGAAGUAAUUACUGACCUUUUGCCGGUCAAGAGAGGCGAUCCAGGACGCCCCGUCAUCCUGAUCUCCAUCGGCAUGGUGGACUUCCUAGAAGCACUCUACGACUUUGGCUCCAGUGUCAACAUUAUGCCCAGGCUUGCAGAUUGGACACUAAGUUUCCCCAAGGGAAUAUUGAAGAACCUCUGUGUCCGAGUUGGUACCUUGUACGCUCCAGCAGACUUCAUGGUGAUAGGGACUGGUACUGAUGAGAGGGCACCCAUCAUCCUAGGGAGGCCAUUCGUGAACACCUCGGGAGUUGUCAUCUACGCUAGUGCUGCCAAGAUCAGUUUCUACAUCAAGGGGAAGAAGGAGACAUUUUCCUUCAAGAACAAGACUACACAAAUCUCAGAGCAAUCCCGAUAUGAACCAAGGAAGAGGACCAACAGGAGGAACAAGAACAAGAAAAUGUGGACCGAGUCAGCUAAGAUGGUCACUGCAGUUCAAGGAGGUCAAGAUCGUCGACUUAAGUCACCGUUCCUGACCAAAAAGGACGACUCAGCUCCUGUUCGGAACCAAGCCCCUAAAACCGACAUACAUUCAGCUCCAGAUGGUAGAUCAUACAUUCCAAAAGGUUGAAGGUUAUUGACAUGGGAGAAGAUGAGUACGAUCCACCCAUCAUCCUUGGGAGACCGUUCCUCAGCACUGUUAAAGCAAUCAUCUACAUUGGAACCGGAGAAGUCCACAUGCACUUCCCCUCUGAUAAGGUACGUCACUAUUUUACUGACCCUAACUAUAUAGUUGAAGACUCUAAGCAGGUCAGGACAAGAAGAAGACGACGCAACCGCAACUAGAGGAGGCAAAUCAUCAAGGACGAUGGGCUGACUACGAAGGAGAAGUGGUAAGGUCUGAAGACAUACACCUUGAACAGAACUAUCCUGAGGAGACCGUAGCACCGAGUCAGGUGUGGAGAGAGAAGAUAGUUAUACACGAAGAGCAGGCACCGCCGGAACCACCGACUACGCCAUCCAGCGAAUCCCAAGACGACUGAGAAAAAACGGAGAGUCCCGUUCGGAGGACUUAAAAACACCGAACACCUUGCCAAGAGGUAAACUUGGUAGUUAUCUUUUUCCUUUCAAUUAUUUAAAACAGUUUGCUUAGUUAAUCAGGUUCAUAUCGUCUUGAAAAGAAAAUAAAAAAGUUAAAAAUAGUAAGCCCCACGUGAGUAUGCUCAUGGCAUAAAACCCAUAAGUACAUUCACUGUGGUGGCGUAAAAAUAAAAUAAAUAUAUUCCUGUCCUAUAAAAAUGAAAAUAUAAAAAUAAAUUUAUGAUACUACCAAAGAGAGUAAUAUUUAUUAGAGGAAGCUCAACAUGAUAACGGCUAAGAGAUUUUAUUCUAACACUUAACUAGUUCCACAAAGCUUUGUUGUUUAUUUGAGCUCCACAGAAUUCAAGGAUCAAACAAGACUAGCAGACGGAGGACAUCCUAAUUGCUGUCAGGGUGCUGCCGACAUUCAAAUACACCUCCACCACCUGCUAGCUACAUCAGAAGAAAUUACGUCAAAAUCAAGCUUGGGGGAGAGCACCCCCAUUUAUCCAGCUAAGUGUUCUACUCACGUUUAUACUUUACUCAAAUAAUAAAAAGAUGCAUAAUCAUAAAAACCCAAAUAAAGUUUUUGUGCUUAUAUAUAUAUAUAUAUAUAUAUAUAUAUAUAUAUAUAUAUAUAUCUUUGCUUAGUUUGCUAAAUAAAUAAAUAAAGUUUGCUAUGAACCCUCGUGAUAAGCUCUCACAUGGAAAUGAUGAAUAGUUGCUCUGCCAUGACUAGUACUCAAAAUUGAAAUCUCUCUCAAGUUUAGGCAUGACUGUUAUUAAUUAAGAUUUGCUCUAAACCUCAACUUGUGGGAAGAGUUCUUGAUCUAAAGUCUAAGUCGUUAAUGGAUACGAUAUGGGAAGGUUGAGCUGCUGUUUAUCUGUUCCUAGAGAUGCUAGAAUUCUGUAGAAUUUUAUCUUUGAAAAUCUCUAAAAUGUUGCAUGAUGAGUUCCUGUAUGAUGAGAGUUUAAAAUCCUACCACAGUCAUAUAUACAUGCUUAUUAGACUAUGAACCAUACAUUUACUUUUUAUGGCUUAUGAGCAUUGAGUGUGGUCAAGCUGUGUAGACCCUUAGGAGCUUGUCAUGUGAUUAAAUACAAGAUUCACUUGCACGUUCACUCAUACAUGCUGCUUCUACUCCGGAAGUACGCAUCCACAUACAUCCACUCAUUUCCAUAUCCAGAUUCACCCAAAAUUAUUCUACUCCUAUCUAGGAGAGAAUAGCCAAAAACAUUAUCCUAUCCCUGUUAUUCCUCGUAAAAUAAAUGCUCAAGAUAUUUUGGUUACUACCACUUGCAACAUUAUUCCAGGAGGGUGAGUGCUCUGAAAAAAAGUGAAUACGAGGAAAUAAAAAGGGGCAAGUGCCCGAAACCUCAAAAAAAGAGAAAAAGUGAGACGAGAGGUAAAAAUGGACAAGUGUCCGUCAGUAGAAUUAGGGGUACAAGAUACCCACCUGAGAGAAAAGAAAAAUAAAAUAUAGAGCAUCUCACUCCCCUCAAAAGCCUCAAGUGCAAGGAAGGUAUGUACCCCCUCAAAAGAGCAAAAGUAGAAUUAGACUUUCACCAUUGUUUUCACCAUUAUUUUCACCAUUAUCACCAUUCAUUCGCCACACAUGCACAUCUUGAUUUGACUUAUUGACUUGUUCUUCUGGAUCCAUGGUUUGACUAUGCAAUAAAUGUCUUGUAAGUAUGUAUUAGCUGUCUCCCACCUAUGAGCUCCAGAUAUCAAAACCUUAUUAGAGUAGGGUGAGAGAGAAGGCAAUGCCACUAUGCCUCAUACCAAAAAUACCACAUACUUUGAGAGAAAGCAUACACCAUUACUGCCUUGGUAAGGAUCCAGAAAUACCACAAAAGAGAGACUAGAGAGAGUCAUAAAGGAAUCUCUGAGUUUUAUUUGAAAAUCUGCAAAAACUCCAGAGCUAUAGUUAAUCGAAGAACAAGAGACAUGGCACUUGACUAGACCGCUCUAUCUUUGAACUGCUCAAGACACAAGUGACGGUUGCAAGCCCCAUGGUGGAAGGAAAAAUGAGUAAGUUUAAAUCUUAACAGUUUACCCUAACCCAGAGAUGAGAUCUUGUUUAAACGCAUGUGUACCUUUAAGGCAUGAAACCACUGCAGAAACUAUUAAGUCCAUCUUUGCUCAGGGACAAGCAAAGGUUAAGCUUGGGGGAGCUUGUUGACGGUCCUUGAUGCUCACAUUUAACCGUCAACUAGUCAUGGAAAAGGAUCCAAAUGCAACCGACACCUAGACUUAGGGUUUUAUCUGAUAGAAAUCCACGAGUUUUGGUGUUUGUCUAUUUCUGCAGGGGGUUAUUAGGAAAUAUGGAGAAAAGGCCCACACGUCGGGUUUACAUAGAGAUAUUAAUGUGUGCACCAAUUUUCUAUCAUCUAGAAGACUCUAGAAGCCACGAGAACGAACGGGAGGCCGAGCGGGCCCAGGGGCAGGGCGCCCGCCCUCCCCCUUGGGCGCCCGCCCAGCUACAGGAGCGGUCGUCGAAAGCUGGUCGGCAGUCUACCUUGGGGUAUACCCACGGUAGUAGUUUAUCGGUAGACGGUGCGCAAACUACGAACUCGAUGGUGAUGCAAGACACAGACAAGCUUUUUAUCCAGGUUCGGCCGUCGAGUUGGCGUAAUACCUAUGUCCUGCGUCUGGUUGUAUUGAUUUGUGUUGAGAGAAUAAUCAUGUCCUAGGGGGGUCCCUUGCCUCUCCUUAUAUAGUCCGGAGGGCAGGGUUACAGAUCUAGAAACUAAUCCUAGUCGGUUACAAUUGUCAUAGAUAGUUCGAUAUCAAUUUCUAUUCUAACCGACUAGAAUCUUGCUUGAUCUCCACGUCCCGUUUCCUUGCACGAAACUCCGAGCUGUCGGAUCAAGCCUCGAACUUGUCUCGUAAUGGGCCAAGCCUCCUGGCCCAAGCCUAGCCGUAAGGGUAUAGGGGUUUAUACCCCCACAGCUAGUCCCCGAGCACCAAGUAUUGUGAUGUAACACGCCAUCUUGAGCUUCUUCGAUCAGUGAGGCUUGACGUCUUCAAUAAGCAGGAAAAUCGCCCAAACAGUUGCAACAGUAUUUUGACCAACUCAAAAGAUAGUUGGUCAACAUUGACAUCAAAGAAGCAGGUUGUUCGAAGAAUGCUUGGUGCUCUAAAUUAAAAAAGAUUUCUUUCCUGGUGAAGUGUGCCCACUUUACUUUUCUGAAAAGUAUAGACCUCAAAAAAGCAAGCAUAUUCACUGCAAGGUGAAGUGUGCCCACUUAGUCCCCGAGCCUGGUAGUAGGUGACGUAGGCACGUGGUGCCAGGGUCAAAAGAAAAAUCCUCAAAAUAACUUUGAAUGUGAGAUGCAUCGUACCGAUGUAGUCCCCGAGCUUGCUGGAAGACAAAGUAUGAACCUUGUAGCAAGGUCUAAAAAUUAAAAUUAUCCAGUCCCCGAGCAUCUCAUACUCGUUUAGUACCGGAUAGACUUAUCAAUUUGACGAGCUGGUCAACCAGUCCCCGGGUGUACAAUGCUCGGAGAUCGGUACAACCCGCAGAUUCCCAAACUAGUAGUCUGGGCGACCAGUCCCCGGGCAUCAAGUGCUCAGUGGUCGGUGCAGUCCCAACAAACUUGACGACCAGUCCCCGAGCACCAAGUGCUCGGUGGUCAAUGCAUUCCUUGAAGUUCCAAGCUGAUAGACUGGGCGACCAGUCCCCGAGCAUCAAGUGCUCGGUGGUCGGUGCAGUCUUUGAAUUCCCGAGUUGAUAGACUGGGCGACCAGUCCCCGAGCAUCAAGUGCUCAGUGGUCGGUGCAGUCUUUGAAUUUCUGAGUUGAUAGACUGGGCGACCAGUCCCCGAGCAUCAAGUGCUUGGUGGUCGGUGCAGUCUUUGAACUAUUGACUCUCUACCAAUUUUUGUCUGUUUAUUUUGAAAAAAUCUUACCACAUAAAUGAUUGACGUGACGAGACCUCCUGACGGAAAGUUAGAUGGUUGCGUGAAAAGUUGCGCCUGGUAACUAUGCAGCCGCCCUUUGCGCGGUUUGAGAAAAAGAAACCAUCAAUUUGUACAAAAACUCCGUCGCAUUAAUUGUCGAUAAUCAUGGAAAACCGAAGCGCUGCGUCCGCCGUUGGGCCCGCCCACUUCCCAAGAAUGCGGGAAGUGGAAGGGGUGGAGCUGUGGUUUAUAAAAUCCUGACAUUACCCCCGCAUUGCUUACCCUGCCAUUGCCUUCAAGCCUUCCGCUCCUGCCUUCUUCAAUCACCUGCACCCUCCUAGCUCAAAACCACUCCCGCAUCUCCAAUGGCGAAGAGCGACUCCAAGAAGAGGGCCGAGAUGAUGGCCAAGGAAUGGAAGAAAUCUCGCAGCACUGCAAAGUCCCUCGGUGACCUCGUCGAUAUGGGGCUACUGCACAGCCCAGAGCUCGGCGGCUGGAGGGCGCCGGAGGGGGAGAGCUACCCCGACCCCGCGCCGGUGAGAUCGUAGUGUUCGAGGAUUUCAUUAAGAGGGGUUUUGGGGUUCCUGUUCAUCCUUUUCUUCAGGGGCUUCUUUUGUAUUAUGAGAUCGGGAUUUGCAAUCUGCACCCGAACUCAAUCCUUCUCAUCUCCACCUUUAUCCACCUAUGCGAGGCCUAUGUUGGCAUAGAGCCGCACUUCGAUCUCUUUCGUUAUCUUUUUUGUUUAAGGAAGAAGGGAGCGGUUGGAGGCUCCAAGAUUGCAGGUGGAGUAUACCUCAAUCUUCGUGAUGGAAUGAAGAACCGUUACCUAAACUGCCCGUGGAACACUUCCCUGACCGAAUGGUACAGGAAGUGGUUCUACGUUAGGGAAGAGCCGGGCAGCUCCACGUUCUGCGACAUGGGGUACAUAUCCGAGAAGAGGGUCAGUUGGACCGACCGCCCAGAGUUCACCGGCCAGGUAGCGGACCUCAUGAAGCUGAUCGACUGGUCGCGCUUGGACGGGUUAGGUGUGGUCGGCAACUUCAUUUGUCGUCGGGUGAUGCCCUGCCAGAAGAGGGUGCACUCGUCGUACGAGUAUGCUAGAAGCCAAGACCCGACUAGGAUGACGCCUGAGAUCCUGGAGAAGACGGAGGUGCAGCAGUUGUUGAGCGAGCUGUUCAACUUUGCUGACGGGAGCUUCAUCCGUGGUAGUGAUCGGGUGCAAGCUUUCAAGCUGGGACGACCAGCCCCUAAGUGAAUGUUAAUUUCUGGUUGUGCCUCCUUGAUUUUUGUUCUUUCCUGCUGCUGACUUGUCUUUAUGACUGUUGUAGAUCGGAGACGUUGACAGGUGCACAGUGUAUGUAUCACUGGCACCAGGGAUGGAGAAUCCCGCGGGGGAGGACCCGCCGGAGGAUGACGCUGCUCGGUGUGCUCGGUACACCAGUAGUGAGGAGGAGCAGGCCCGCCCCGUCCCGACCACCAAGGAGAGAGUGGCAGGGAAAAGGCCAUUGGUGGCAGAUCCUUCACCUGCGCCGACGCUGCCGGCAGAGAGCAGCCAGGCGCCAAAGCGCCAUCGGCUCGUCCGGAUCACCGACAAUGACGACGAGGAGGAGGAGGCCGCAUCGUCGCUGGACCGAAAGCCUCGUAGCCGUCCGGACGAUGCGCCGGCCACUACUGAUCGGGUGGCUAGUGACCCUCCUGCGCCGCGCGUCGCAGGAACGGGGGCACAGGCGCCGACCGGCAGGGCUAGGAGGAGGUUCACCGCGACCCACCGUCGAUCAGACCUGUAAGUGUUCGACUUACGUACUUGGCGCAUUUUUUUACUGUAGCUGAAAAUGCAGCUUUUUUGUUUAGCGCGGCAUCGGACGUCAACCCCGACCAAGUCACAGAGUAGAGGACGUCCGAGCCUGCUGCCGUUGCUGAAGACGCUGCGCCAUAGGCCACAGACCAGCCUGCGGCGACAGCCGCUGCUACAGGCGCCGAGGGACAAUCUGCCCCAGCGAGUGCCGCCGCGAGCACCCCGCCGAGGGAUGGGGAGGCAGCAAGGACCCCUCCCCCGAGUACUGUUGCAAAGGAGGAGGGCAGAGUCCCGACGCCUCCAGCCAUAGAAGGGAGGGUCCCGACACCGCCCCGAGCAGGGGCCUCUUUGCCCGUGGGCUCCCCUGGACUAGAGCAGGGGCCAGUGAUGCCCUCGACCGCAGCCGGAGGCCGUGCGGCAAACGAGGAGCCCUAGGAGGCCUCUGACGACGAUGUGGAGGAGAUCCAGGGUCGUCCCCGCGAUGGCCGUCAGCACGUCUACGUGUGGCGCUAACGCGGGGACCACUUCAUUGGACAUGAAGAGCUCGCGGAGACGGAGGAGGCCGCGAGGGUGGAACGUGGGCUAAGCGUCUCGUGGACGAGGUUAAGGUAAGUGGUCCUGUGUGCUGCUCAACAACUAUGUGUAGUGUUCCUGUGUUCGACAUAUGCUCUUGCUUGCAGGGCGCGAUGAAGACGGCGAAGUACCGGAAACGGUGCUUCGACCAGAUCGAGGGCAUUGUGGCCGAGAACAAGGCCUUGUCCACGGAAGUAGACCGGCUGCGGUCUGAAGUGGGAGAAAAGGUGGUCGAGAUGAGUGCUCAGGAAGAGCGCCGUCUCGAGGUUACCCGACGCUUAGCCGACCAGUAUCGGCAGCGGACAGGUCAGUCUUACACUCCGAGGCAGCUGUACGUAGCCGCGUGGUUGACUUUGCUGACUUGUUGAUUAUUCGUGUAGACUUGGAGGAGGAGGUCGCGCGCCUUCGGCAGGAGAAAGAGCAGCUCAGCCAAGAGCUUGCUGGGGCGCUGGAGGCCGGGCGCCGAGCAGGGCAGGUACUAGGCCAAAGGGACCGGGAGUUGUCAGGUAAUACGCGCCGCCCCGGUUAUUUGCCGCUUAUCGCUCUUUUCGUUAUGCUGAGACUGACAUCUGGCUUGAUUUGCAGUGCUCAAGGUGAAUACCAAGAAGCACUUGGACGAGCUGGUCAAGUAUCGGGACUCCUGGAAGGCUAAUUGUUGCAGGAUUUGGAAAGGAGUAGCCCCGGUCCUGGACUUGAUCAGCCCCGAGCUUCCAGAGAGCCAGCCCCGCGCGCCGAGACUGACGCUAGUUGAAAAGGCGCAACGGGCGUGGACUCAGUGGCGGAGCUAGGAUUUCACGGCUGGGUAUUCCACAUAUAAAAUUUUUUCAAUGCAUAUGUACAAUAAUAAUAGGGGACAAAAUUAAUACAAAAUUGAUUCUGAUGCACACCUCAAGUAGUACAUAUAAUUUUCUUAAAAUAUAUACUAGGUAAAAUAUUUGUUUAUUCUGGUAACAAGGCAUCAGGCAAAGUGAGGCUACUAUCGCCUAUGGUAAUAAUCAAAGUAUAUAUGAAUUCUUUAUCUAUGUUACAAGAACACAAUGCAACAUUUCUUAAAAAAAAUCAGAACGCAAAAAAAAAAAGAAAAACGAAACCUUCAAUUUUUACUUUGAAGAAUAAAAAUAAAAAAUAGAUGUGGGAUCUUUGUGUUCACCUUGUUGUUGCUUCAAGCUAUAUAUAUAUAUAUAUAUAUAUAUAUAUAUAUAUAUAUAUAUAUAUAUAUAUAUAUAUAUAUAUAUAUAUAUAUAUAUGAGAAAGAUCAUAUAUGAGAAAGGUGUUGAGGGAGAGCUGUAUAUGAGAAAGUCUACAAAGACCACUGGCUGUCGAUGGGGUUUCUUUCUAUGAGUUCACGGGCUGCCGCUACUAGUUGUUCUACUAGGUUUAGAGCAACUUUAAGAGUUUAACUAUUCUUGUUGUUUAUGCUAUUUCAGAACUUGUAUAGCAAAAAGUAGACUCCAACUAAUAUGCUAUCUAAUUUUCUAAAAUAGGAAGUUGGCUUUUUCUUGAUUUUCGGUGGUUAUAUAUAGCUUAUUACAGACGCUAACUGUAUGACUUUGUAAAAUAACAAGAUUGUUGUAGAUCUCUUUUUUUUUGAAAUUUUCUAUUCAACAAAAUAGCUAAACAAUAGAAUUUGACAAUUAUUUUUAGCCAAACUAUUGGAGUUGCUUUGAUGGGCUACAUAUUUGUAACAUUCAACAAAGUAACAUAUAUGCUGAUUAUAUAUAUGUGUAUAUAUACAUAUAUUUGUGUUUGCUACAAAAAUCAUGGGUAUUCCAUGGAAUAUAGGGGCAUACCCCUGGCGCCGCCCAUGCGUGGACUGGCUCCAGCAGUUCGUGAAGGACGCCGGGGAGUUCGCUGGCGCGCAUAUCCUCAGCAUGGUGUGCGCCCACCACCCCCUGGUCGACUUGUCUAGGCUGGAGAAGGGGUACCCCAAGGAAGUCGGCCCGUAGGAGGCGGACGAGCUUCGGGCUGGUCUGCUAGACUUGUCGUCGACGGUGAUUGGCGACAUCAAUCUAUGCGGGACGGCCACUCCCCCCGACCAGCCGGGCUCGGACAGGUCAGCCAGGGAGUUGUCGGGGGCGUCCCUUGCCGGAUAUGGGCGGUCGACGCCUGCGGUCUCGACCAGCCAGGCGCCGGUGGCCCCGACCCCUUCGUUCGGGCAGCAAGGCCAAGCGGGUGAUCAGCCCGAGCAGUAGGCCUAGUAGGAUAGUCUGUAGGAGUAGACUAGUGACUGCCUGUCAGGGUGUUUUAUUGUAAACUUUUGUAUGUAAAGUUUGUAAUAAAGUUUGAUUUUGUCAUGACCAUGAUUUUGAGCGCUGUAAAGUUAUCUGAGUGAUGUAUCACUGUGUUUGAUUGUUAGUCGUUAAGAAUUUCCAUCGCAGAGGACAUUAUUGUUCUCGUCGCAAACUCUGUGUGUAAACAAAGUAUAGCCAAAAAGGAAAACUUUUAUUAUUGCCAAAUACUAGAAACUUACAAGCAAAAAGUUACUGGAACUUAUGGAAUAAAACGGCGCAGUUUGUCUAUGUGCCAAGAGUUAGGUACGCGUGUCCCGUCUGGAUACGCCAGUCUGUAGGAUGUAGGACGUGUGACUUCAGCGACCACAAAUGGUCCUUCCCAGUGGAGUGGACAGCUUGUGCAUUCCUUCUGGGUUCGUUUCCACCUGAGUACCACAUCGCCGACCACGAAAGAACGGUCCUUGACGUUCCUGUUGUGGUAUCGUCUGAUGGUUGCGAGAUACCUUGCUGUUCGAAAGCAAGAAUUUAGACGCUUUUCUUCCAUGCAAUUGAUUUCGAGUUCCCUGGUGUUGUCGGCAUUGACUGGUCGAAGUUUUCAACCCUUAGAGACUCGAAGGUUAUAUCAGACGGAAGCACUGCCUCGGUGCCGUAAACCAUGAAGUAGGGUGACACCCCAGUGUUCUGACUAGCCUGUGUUCGGAGACCCCAGACCACGGCCGGCAACUCUUUCAUCCAUCGACCAGGUGCUCUGUCGUUCUUGGUGUACAACCUUUUCUUUAGGGCAUCAAUGAUCAUCCCGUUCGCACGCUCGACUUGGCCGUUUGCUCGUGGGUGAGCUACUGACACGUAUUUUAUGACUAUGCCUCUGUCAUCGCAGAAGUCCCAAAAUGUGGUGCUAGUGAACUGAGUACCCAGGUCGGUGAUUAUACUAUUUGGGAUCCUGAAUCUAUGUAUGAUUUGAUUGAGGAAUUCCACAGCCUUCUCGGAGGUUGCUUUGACCAGUGGCAUGUAUUCAAUCCACUUUGAGAACUUGUCGAUUAAUACAAAAACGAACUUGAAGUUGCCAGGAGCCGGUUUAAAUGGCCCGAUCAUGUCGAGCCCCCAGCAGGCGAAAGGCCAGGAUGACGGGAUAGUUUGAAUCUCAUGAGCAGGUACGUGGGUCCUUUUAGCGAAGAACUGAUAUCCCUCACAGUGUCGGACCAGUUUUUCUGCAUUGGUGACCGCGGUUGGCCAGGAAAAACCUGCUCGGAAAGCCUUUCCGACCAGCGUUCUGGAGGCAGCGUGGUUGCCGUAGGACCCGGCAUGUAUGUCGUCGAGGAGUUUGAUGCCAUCGUCUUGUGAUAUGCACUUGAGCAGCACUUCAGAACUUGCAUUUUUUCGCAUAAGUUUGUCGUCCACCAGUAUGUAAUUCUUUGAUCGUCGAAUGAGGCGCUCGUUCUCUGUUUUAUCCUGAAGGCCUGACCCAUUCGAUAUAUAUCUGAUGAACGUGGUACGCCAAUCUCGACUACUGGUUGUCGUAGUAGCGUUGUCUACAAGCAUUGCCUCAGUAGGUUGCUUUUCGACCAGGCCGGAGCCCACACUUGGCUCAUGGAUGUCCUGGACGAAAACACCUCGCGGAAUCUGGGCCCGAGAUGACCCCAACUUUGACAACGCAUCCGCUGCUUGAUUCUUAUCCCAGACCACGUGGAUGUAUUCUAUGCCGUAGAAGUUGGCUUCCCAUUUGCGAAUUUCUUUGCAGUAGAGGUCCAUCUUCUCGUGGGUUGCGUCCCAUUCCUUAUUGAGCUAGUUGAUGACUAAAGCGGAGUCGCCAUAGACGUAGAGGCGCUUAACUCCCAGCUCAACAGCGAGUCGUAUGCCGUCCAGGCAUGUUUCGUACUCAGCGACGUUGUUUGAUGCCGGAAACAGGAUCCUAAGGACGUAGCGUAGUUUGUCCUUGUUAGGCGACACGAAAAGUAUUCCAGCGCCGGCGCCGUUGAUGUUUAAGGACCCGUCGAAGAACAUUGACCAGUGGUCGGAGACGUCGGUAAUGGGAGGCUCAUUGAGAUCCGUCCACUCUGCGAUGAAAUCGACGAGGGCUUGAGACUUGACUGUGGUGCGGCUUUGAAGUUCCAGGGAAAAUGGGCAUAAUUCCAUUGCCCAUUUUACGAUUCUGCCGUUGGCAUCCUUAUUGCGCAGAAUAUCCCCAAGGGGAAAGCUAGUGGCUACCAAGACCCGAUGGCCGUCAAAGUAGUGCUUUAGCUUCCGCGAUGUUAUUAGAAUGGCGUAUAUGAGCUUCUGUAUUUGUGGGUAUCUGGCCUUGGACUCAUUUAAGACUUCACUUAUGAAGUAGACGGGUCUCUGGACCUUGUAGACGUGGCCCGGCUCGUCUCGCUCGACCACUAUUGUCGUGGAGACAACCCUGUCGGUUGCUGCGAUGUAAAGAAGUAGGUCUUCAUUGGGUUGAGGCGCUGUGAGAAUGGGCGGCUAGGUGAGGAAAGUCUUGAGCUGGGCGAACGCAGCGUCAGCUUCCUUUGUCCAGGAAAAUUUUUCCGACGCUUUUAAGAGUUUGAAGAAGGGUAGGCCUUUUUCUCCUAGUCGGGAGAUGAAGCGGCUGAGGGCGGCCAUACAUCCGGUAAGCUUUUGAAUGUCUUUGACAUUCUUGGGUGGUCGCAUAUCGAGCACUGCUUUGACUUUUGAGAGAUUCGGCCGUAUGCCAUCGCGGCUGACGACGUUGCCGAGUAGUAGACCGGAGGGGACCCCAAAGAUGCACUUUUUAGGAUUGAGCUUCCACUUAUAUUUGUUUAGAGCUUUGAAGGUUCGGUCUAAAUUGUCGAUUAGGGUGCUGGCGUCCCUUGUUUUGACGACGACGUCGUCUACAUAAGCCUCGACGAGGUAGUCACGAAUCUCAUCGUGGAGGCAUUGCUGGAUGGCCCUUUGAUAUGUGGCGCCGGCAUUUUUGAGUCCGAAAGACAUGGUCGUGUAGCAGUAUGCGCCGAAAGGAGUAAUGAAAGACGUUUUGAUCUGAUCGUCUUCCCUUAGCGAGAUCUGGUGAUAACCAGAGUAGCAGUCUAGAAAAGAGAGGAGUUCGCAUCCGGCCGUUGAGUCGACCACCUCGUCGAUGCGAGGGAGACCAAAAGGAUCUUUAGGACAGUGUUUAUUGAGAUCAGUGUAAUCAACGCACAUUCUCCAUGCAUUAUUCUUUUUUCGUACAAGAACAAGGUUGGCAAGCCAAUCGAGGUGAUACACUUCUUUUAUGAAUCCGGCUGCUAGAAGCCGUGUUAUUUCUGUCCUAAUAGCCUCCUUUUUGUCACGAGCGAACCGUCGCAGUUUUUGCUUGAUGGGUCUUGCGGUCUUCGAGACAUUUAAGGCGUGCUCGAUCAGGUUUCGUGGGACGCCGGGCAUGUCUGCGGGUUUCCAUGCGAAAACGCUUACGUUGUCCCUUAGAAACCUGACGAGCGCGUCUUCCUAUUUAGGGUCCAGGUGGGCCCCGAUGAGGGCCGUCUUCUCAGGGCUGCCUUCGACCAGCUGCGCUUCCUUGUAUUCCUUGGAUUUUGAAUUCUUCCUGGCGGUCUCCUACUCGGGUAGUCGAAGCUGGUCGGGAGGUAGCUGUGCGGCUUGGGUUGCUGUUUCUGCCAUGUGGAUUGAGAGAUCUAUUGCUUCGGUGAUCUUGAAGCUCUCCUCCUCGCAAGUAUAUGCAGUGUAGACAUUGCCUCUGACAGUUAGGACGCCCUUCUCCGUAGGCAUUUUAAGGACCAGGUACGAGUAAUGCGGGACUGCCAUGAAUUUUGUCAGCGAUGGUCGGCCCAGUAUAGCGUGGUAAGUCCCAUCGAAGUCGGCGACCACAAAGUUGACGAACUCUGUUCGGAAGUGGUCGGACGUGCCGAAUUGGACAGGCAAUGUUAUCUGUCCGAGGGGCACUGAACUCUGGCCGGGCAGGACUCCCCAGAAUUGAGCAUCGUAGGGUUUUAGCUGUGCCGGAGAUAACUUGAGAGCAGGCAGGCUGUUACGGAAAAGGAUGUCAAUGGAGCUUCCUCCGUCCACGAGCACUCGCUCGAAUCUAAUGCUGUUGAUGCAAGGGUCCAAGAUUAGAGGGAAACGACCUGGCUCUAGGAUAGCGGCCCACUGAUCCUUCCUGCUGAAGGAGAUCUCUCUGUGUGACCACGGGGGGAAUUUCGGAUCUGCGAUCAGGCCGUCCGUGCUGUCUAUGUUGAGGCAGGCUCUCUUUAAUAGCUUUCUUUCUCGCUUAGAUUCGAUGGAGACCUUGCCCCCGAAGAUGGAGUGGACCACGUCAGUGGGACUGACAUAUUGAUGCCGUGGGUCCCUAUCUUGGUCCUCGUCCUCGUCUUCGUGGUCGCGCCCGUCUUGUUUUCCAUUUUUCUUGGCGGAGUCGUCUUGGGCGGCCCGCCGUGUAUAGAUGUUUUUGAGGACGCGUUACUCUUCCAUGGUAUGGUUGGACUUUGGAUGCAGUUGGCACGGUCCCUUCAACGUUUUGUUGUAGUCUUCUUGGUAGUCCCGCCGCCCGUUGGGGCGUUUGACUGUAUUCACUUCGUGGUCAUGGUCGCGGGGGCGCUUUCCUUUGAAAUCAUCGCGAUUGUCGCGCCGCCUAUCCCAACCUUCCCUGUGAUCACGGAUGUCGGGACAGCGGUGGUUCCUGUUGUCGAAACGACCGCGACUAUCAUCUCGCCGGGGAGGCUGGUCGGGACCUCUCGCAUCGUCCCGGAUGAGUUUUUCUGCGUCGUCGGCGUCGGCGUAAUUUUUAGCCGUGGCGAGGAGCUCGGCCAUCGUUGUUGGCCUUUUGCGCAACAGCUUGUUCCUCAGUGCUUCAAGGAAGCGCAGCCCCUUGAUGAAAGCAGAUAUGGCCUCGUCGUGGGAAAUCUUCGGGAUCUUAAGGCGCAUAUCCGAGAAUCGUCGGAUGUAAUCGUGCAGAGGCUCGUUUUUCCUAUCACUUAUCCUUUCGAGGUCGUACUUGUUUCCAGGCUGCUCGCAUGUGGCGAUAAAAUUGUCGAUGAAAGCCUGGCGUAGCUCUUCCCAAGAAUCGAAGGAGUCCUCGGGCAGGCCAAGGAGCCACUGGUGACCAGCCUGGUCGAGGACUACUGGGAAGUAGUUGGCCAUGACAUGCUCGUCUCCUGCUGCUGAUCGGAUGGCGAUCUCGUAAAGAGUGAUCCAAUUUUCCGGAUUUUCCUUGUCGUCGUAUUUUUUCAGUUUCUCAAGCUUGAAAUUGCGGGGCCACACGACCUGGCGGAGGUGUGAGGAGAACUGCCUCAGGCCCGGGGGCCGUGUGUUGCAUCAUAUUCGAUACGACGCAGGUUUUCGUGGACUACUCUCUCCGUGGCGCGCUUGUUGAUGCGGUCUCGGGUGUCUUUGGGAGGGAUGUUGUAUCGAAGAUCCCUGUGCUGGUUUACUUUCUGACCACGCCCGUGAUUCUGCUCGCGGCAACCGCCAACAUCCCGACCGCCAUCGCCACGCCGUGAGUCUUUUCGAUGAUCGUUGGGGGAAAGGUCGCGGUGGUGCCCGCUGGGCUGUGGUGAGGUCCGGCUGCGGUGAGUCUGGUCGGAGGAGGCCUCUGUAUAAGAGACGGUUUUGAAUCUUUUGAGCAGAGUGGCUGUUUGCCCCAUAGCAGCGAUCAGAUGUGCCAGAACGUUGGAUCGGACGCCCUGGCACUCGGGAGUAUCAGGGAGUCGAUCUAAAUUGGCCAUGGCGACAGCCACGUUGGUGCUUGGCAUUUUGUAGACUUGCUGAUCCCCGACCAUGUCGAAAGCGUCGCUGAGAUUAUGCGGCGGGAAUUGGCGUUCCUGGUCUGCGCGUCGUCGGGCACGGUCGGUGUUGCGCUGCUCGCGGAGCUGCCUCUGCUCGUCUGUUUCUCCAUCGACAGCCGGCUCGUCGGCGCUGACGUUGAAAAUGAUAUCUCCUCGCCGAGGUGGGAAGACCGGGAAACGAGGGAAACCCGGAGGAUAUGGAGGCAAAUCCAGAUCAUAGUCCUCGUCCUCGGAGUUUAUGACUUCAGUGGGAACGGAACCAGUGCUCGAAUUUGUGCUGGAAGCCUGGCCGUCCCCUAGUUCUUGGACCGUGACCAUGUUGACGUGGUGAAGAGCUGGUCGACCGUUCCACUUUGGCAGCCAACCCGCCUCGUUGAAAAGGGAUUGGACGUGCCGUGAGUAGAGAGAGGCCGAGUUGUUCAGACCGCAAGGAUACCCUUCCUCCGGAUCAGCCUUGAUCUUGACGGACCGUCCCGAGGGGGUGGAGGUUAUCAUUAGAGUCGCCCCCAGCUGUUCGUGUGUGACGACACGAGUUGGCCGGUAGGAGUUGAAAAAAUCCGCCGGUGCGGCUUGAUCAGGUCGGCGUAAGAUCCCAUCUACUAGUUGGGAAGCUUCGAGAAGCUUGGAAUCAGCGCGAUCAAGUGCUCGGAGAAGAUCCGAGCCGUCGAUCUUCUUUCCCUUGUAGCGUGGGAGUGGUGGUCGGGUGCUCGGUACCAGCAUCCGUGUGGUCGGAGCCGAUGCCGCCGUCAUCCCAGAUUGGAUCUAGGUUCCUUCCGAAACCAUGGUCGUGAGACCGCCGCCGUGCGUCGUCCACGUGAUCUGGCCGACGGUGAACGUGAGGCCUUCGGGCACGGCCGCGGAAGCUGGAAUGAUGACCAUCUUGUUCGUCAGAGAAGUUGUACGCACACCCCCUACCUGGCGCGCCACUAUCGACGAAAGCUGGUCGGCAGUCUACCUUGGGGUAUACCCACGGUAGUAGUUUAUCGGUAGACGGUGCGCAAACUACGAACUCGAUGGUGACGCAAGACACAGACAAGCUUUUUAUCCAGGUUCGGCCGCCGAGUUGGCGUAAUACCUACGUCCUGCGUCUGGUUGUAUUGAUUUGUGUUGAGAGAAUAAUCAUGUCCUAGGGGGGUCCCUUGCCUCUCCUUAUAUAGUCUAGAGGGCAGGGUUCAGAUCUAGAAACUAAUCCUAGUCGGUUACAAUUGCCAUAGAUAGUUCGAUAUCAAUUCCUAUUCUAACCGACUAGAAUCUUGCUUGAUCUCCACGUCUCGUUUCCUUGCACGAAACUCCGAGCUGUCGGAUCAAGCCUCGAACUUGUCUCGUAAUGGGCCAAGCCUCCUGGCCCAAGCCUAGCCGUAAGGGUAUAGGGGUUUAUACCCCCACAGGAGCCAAUCAGGCUCUGCCUCGCCGAUUAUGCUCCACCGACCUAAAAGAUUAAGGAAAACCGUGCAAUUAAGGUCGGCUUGAUCCGACGGCCCAUAUUCAUUUGGAGGGGCUAUAUAAGCAGGCCCCCUGGCCCCUAGAGAACAUACCUCUUCUACAGAAUCAAAGCUAGGGUUUCAAUUAUUCAUCCAAGUAGAGAGGAUCCCUCUAGUUCAUCUAGUUCUAGUUCUAGUUAGUUCUAGUUGUAAUCUAGAAAAUAGGGAGAGAGAAGAGGAGAGCGGAGGAGGAGCCAGAUCUGUCAGAUCUUCCUCAACAUUAUACUUUUGCAGCAACUGGUUCAUUCUUCAUCGUUCUCCAAGUUCUUCAAUUCAUAAUUCCUGAGUUCUUUAAUUACUUUUAUUUACAUUUAAGUUAUUUAUUGGAUUCCCGCUUGCAUCAAGUGCUCUAGUCUUUGAAAUGCUAGAGUAGUAAUUAAUAGAUUAGAUGUGGUGUUUAGUCUUGCAAUUACCUGGAAUUGCACCCAAUCCUGCGGAUUGUUGUGGUAGCCCUAGGGUAGUGACUGCCUUAACGGUCGAUGUAUUCCACCUCGUUUAGAUCGGUGUUGGUAGGACCGUAGUCAGAGCUUCCUAGCCCCCUUCUCAUCUCUUUCUGUGGUUAGUGUUCUGAUGUCCCGAAAUAAAUAAUCUUUGAAGUAAUUCUUGAUUGUUAGAUAAACUAGAGAACUCUCAGGAAACUUCCUCUCUUCCCACCAAAAAUAAUUAUAUAGUUAUCCUUGGGCGAUCUUGAAUCUUAAUUAGUACACUCACGUUCCCUGUGGAAAAUCGAUACUCUGGAAUACUCCUAGGUGAAAGCUACAUCGGUAUCCAUGCGCUUGCGGAUUUUUCUGUUUGCGUUUAAAAUACCCAACAACUGUCCAAGCCAUCGACUCAUGCAUGAUGUGUGAGGAAUGUGGGAAUGUUGGCCACAUGGGGAUCAAUUGCCCUGGAACACAGGAGGACGCAUUGUUCAUCAACAACAGGUUCCGCCAACAACAGCAAGGUAAUGAGUGGAACAACUAGAACCGCCCCCAAGGUAAUUACUCCAGUUUUAACUCCUCCCAGCCUUCGCUGAAAGAUCUUGUGCUAGGUCAGGCCAAAAUCAAUGAAAAUCUUGUUAAAAAAGCUUUCUAAAAACGAUCAAAUGUUUGUCAACAUAAAUACAAAGCUUGAUGGCCUGACCCUUUCUGUUAGGGAUCAGCUAGCUUUUGAUAAGAAGAUCGAGUUAAAAGUAGCUCAGCUUCUGCCGCUAAAGCUGUUGUUUCUCCUAAUUCUGUGGAAAAUGUAAAUGUGGUGACCACGAGAGGGGGUAAGACCACUCGUGAUCCCCCUUAUCCUAUCCAUAAGACAGGAAGGGCGCCACGGCAACAAGAGGAAACACAGGCAGAAGGGCCGGCUCAACCAUCAAAAGAAUCCAUGGAAGACAAGCCGACCCCAAACAACUAUGGGGACACCACGAUGCUACCCUUUCCCACAAGAGAAAGGAGGAAGAAGAGGGAUAGAGAUGAGCAGUUCCUCCGCUUCAUGGAAAUGGUCGAAAAGACGCACGUUAGUGUACCAUUGAUGGAUGUCUUGCAUAUUUCGUCCUACUCCAAGUUCAUCAAGGACAUCAUCAACAAGAAGCGACCAUUGCCAUCCACUGAAGUUGUCAAGCUGACAGAAGAAUGUACCGCAGGAUCCUGGGUGCCCCACAAUCUCUUGCUCAAUUGGGGCCCAUUAAUUCGACCACGCCCUAUGUGAUUUGGGGGCGAGUGUGAGCGUCAUGCCGAAAUCAGUCUUUGACAGGCUGAACUUCACCAACUUGGAGCCAACCACCAUGACACUCCAGUUGGCAGACUCGUCAGUUCGGUACCCGGCUGGGAUUGCUCAAGACAUCCCUGUCAAGAUCAGAGGAUACUAUGUUCUAGUGGAUUUUGUGGUGCUCAACAUGGAGCUCACUAAAGAAACACUACUAAUCCUGGGAAGACCAUUCUUCAGUACAGCUGGAGCAUAGAUUGAUGUUGGGGCUGGAGAAAUCCACUUCAACAUUAAUGGCUAAGAAGAGAAGUUCGAGUUCAGGCCACGCCGUCAACAAGAGUGCAACAUGAUACGCAUCCUCUAUGGGCUAAACCCCCAAGGCAUCAGGCAGGUUGAGAUCCAGCCUCAACUUAUUAAAAAUACAAAAAUAUCUAAGAUAAAGCCAGAGCCAAUAGAAAAGGCAGCUCCUAAGAAAAAUAAUAAGGAGCAGAAAAAGAAAAUAGCUCCUAAAAAGAAUGAAAAGAGGGACGAAGUCCCCAAGCCUUCACAACCGAAGCAGGUGUGGAAACCAAAGAAGAAGGUUGAACAAACUUCCACACCUCCAAAGGUGAUACUGCUAAAGUGAAGGCCCAAGCAGGUGCAACCGUCUACUCCUCCCAAGACGGAUGUGCCAUCAUCAAGCAAGAAGUAAUGGGAGAAGAGUCCCGCUCAACGGACUAUAAAGAUGAGACCUUGCCGAAGGUAAAUCGGUAAGUUAUCCCUAGGUAAGUUUUUACUUAUAAAAAAAUAUAAAUAUAUAUUUUCUUUUGACUUAUUUAUUUAUUCUUUCUAUUUAUGUUUUGAAUAAAUGGUGCAUUUGUUGUCUUUAUGAGUAGUCCAUAUUGCCUCUAUGAUCUUUUCUUCACUUUUGAAUCUUUGUGAUCAUGGGUAUCAAUCACUCAUAAAUGCAUGAUAGUGUGAUAGCUUUUAGAAAGUUUUCAAAAUUCAAAACCCUAUCUCACACACUAUCACUCUGAUUCCACUGCGUAUCACGAUUGAUCGUAACCAGGAUUGCAAAAUACUCAUAGAGGCAAUGAAAUACCCGAAAGACUGAGGCCGACAGGUGGACCCAGUGGUGCGGCCGCACCCUGCUGCGGGAGCACCCCUAGGUCCACCAAUCGGCCCCAAUCUUUUUCCCUUCCUCUCCUACACUGAUUAGCAUCACGUCCAUGGUUACGAUCAAGUUGUUUCCAGAUCAGAGACUGCGUUAGCACCUAUAAAAUCCUCCAUAGGCCUCUUCUCUUCUCACACCAACCAUUUCUCAUCUCCCUCUUUAUGAAGAUUGCUAAGCUCUCCCAUUCUUCAGUAGUGACCUUGUCUAGCUAUGUCCUCUUGCUGAUCAAUGCUCCCAAGACCAUAGCCAAUCUAGACAUAGCACCUUACCAAGAGAGUUCUAGCAAGGAGGUCCAUGUUGAGAAGAGAAAGCCGUUAGCGUUGUUACCAGCAAACCACAAAGCGCCCACCAAUAGCGCCGCCAACAUACCCGCUACUGCUCAUUCGUCCACUAGCAACAUAGGACUUAAGAGAAAAGCCCCUAGUGGUGAUGGGCAAGGCAAUCAUGCUGGUAGCAAGAUGGGUGGCAAGGCCAAGAAGACAGAAUCGUCCAGUACUCUCCCUAGGAUCAGGAGGCACUUGCCACAACCGUCAAUCAAGCGUCGUGCAGGACAGUACGAGAGCAGCAAUGAAGAAGAUGAUCCCAAUAUCAUAGCCGAGCUUUUAGCUAAGCAGGCUAGCCUACGUGCUGAGUUACGGGUUUUAGAAGACGACCUAGAGGAAAAGAACACUAAGAUUAGGAACCUCAGUGAUGAUGUUAAUAGGUUUCGCUUCAAGUUUAAUACUAAACUUAGAAAGGUCGCUGAAGCCUUAGUUGUUGUUCGCCUUGUUGAAGAUCUUUAGACCACACCUCCUGCACGAAUGUUUGUUUAGGCACAUUUUUCCUUUUCACAAUAUUGAUGUUUCAAAUAUUUUUUCCCUUCCAAUGUAAUGUGCCUAUUCAAAAGUUAUCAAUAAAAAAAAGUUUGUUUAUCUUGUGCACUUGUUUUCUAUAUAUAUUGUGACUAACCAUGAUAGGAAAGAAAACAAGUGUGGGGGAAGGACUAUUCAAUCAAAAAUCUCGAUUUGUGCAAACCCUCUUCCCCCAAAAAGAUUUUCAAAUGAAAUGUUUAAAAUGAUGUUACCUUCGUACUCCAUCGAACAUGUCUCCUAUGUUCAAAUAUGUUUUUGCAUACUUUUUAUUCUUAUCUAAUAUCCCUAGAGAUUUAUGAAGACUUGUUAUAGGGACCCCAUUUUAUCUAAGUAAUUGACGUAUGUGAUAUAGUAGGAUGACAUGAUGCUUGCUGGUUCUUGCAAAGUACUUGGGUUUUCUUUUAUAAAAAGCAAAAUUCAAUAGCAAAUUUCUUGAAUGAUCAAGCUUUAUUCCUACCAUGGCCAAAUAUUUGUUCAUGAUUAAACCUGCUACAUAUGCUGCUUGCUCUGUGUUGAGUUUGGUCAAAUUUUUGGACCGCCGUCGAGAGGUGUUGCAUGCCUCUAAGAUCUGAAUUCACUUACGCCCACCAUAUAAAAGCCGACUCUCACAGUGAGAAGUCGCGCACAACAUGCUUUCUCCAUCCACCCAAAAUUUCGCCAACUCUUACACUGAGGGUUGCGCACAUAUAUCCACCAAAUAAAAAUGCUAAUAUCUCACCCUGAGAAUUGUGCAUUCAUAUACAUUCCUUGCAUUUGUUGUCAUAAAGCUCUCUUUCAUUUUCACCAGAAUCAUAGGAAUGGGCUAUAUAUAUAUUUGUGUUAUAGACCAUAUCCUCUCAAGUUUUUCAUCUCAUUUCAAAAGAGAGUCUUGAUGCAAGGAAUGUUGCAAUAAAAGUAGUGAUAGGAUUCCACCAAAAAUUCCACACACUUGCACAUUCUGAUCUAAGGGUAUGGCGCACUCCCUCUGGUAUGGUCCUGGGUUUGACUUGACAACAUAUGCAGGGUAAGUAAGUUCCACCAUCAUACAUACCCAAAACCCCAGAUAAGCCUUUUAGAAGUAGGAUGAUCAAAAAGAAGGCAUCAACUCUUUAUGCCUUGGUAAGGAACCACUCACAUAUUAGGAGGGACUUGAGAGAAUCAUUCAAGAAACAUAUGCUAUCUUUAUUUUUCAAAAUCUUACAAAACCCCAUGUUUCUGCGCAAGGACUAUGUAAGAGGAUUUGAAUCCAGGCUGUUCCAUGUUUCAAUUACCCAAGAUAGCUUGGUAGACACUUUGAAGUUCAUAAAUCUAGGUGAAGCUAGGAAUAACCUGUAUGCAGAUUCUUUUGACAAUGAAGAUGAACCCAUUUGGUCUUUAGUGCCUUCACUCAAGGACGAGCAAAGGACCAAGUGUGGGGGAGUUGUUGGUACCCCUUAUCUUAUAAUUAUAAACAUCAUUUUAAUAAAUAAAAUAAAUAGAUGGUAGGGCUUUGAACUAACCUUUCCACAAGUUUUGUUGCAAAUAUCAAUUUCAAGUAUGACACGUGGAAAGGUGCAAAAGACACGAGAAAGCGCACUUCAAGAAAGCGUAUUCAAAAAAGGCACAAAUCAAAGAGAAAUGGAAAAGCCCACCAAAACACCGAACUGGAUCCAUCCGUAACUACGGGGAGGAUCAGGGCCCAGAGACGAACCGACCACGCGAAGGCGGUGGCCAAGGGGGCCCACCAGUGGUGCAGCCACACCCUGGUGCGGGCGCACCCCCGUGGUGGCAACUCGGUCCCACCUUUUUCAGGCGGUUGCAUGGCGGGAUGCAUAGGACGGUUUCACCUCCUACCAAAUUUAGAUCGGCAUGAACCGUUCUUGUUGGGCUAUAAAUAGAUGGCUCCACAUCAUUCAACACACACACCAUCAUUUGGAGCAAUACACCUCAAAUUUCUACACUUGUUCUUUAGUUUAGGUUCAGUAGUAGAGCAAGGCAAAGCUAGCAAGGAGAGCUUGUCUCCUUGGAGGAUCUUAGAGCUUCUUGGUAUGAAUACAAUUCAGAUCUCCUCCAUGAGCAAGUUCUUAUCUUAUUUAUAUGAUUAUGCAAUUGAAUUAGAGUAUAGUUGUGUUCAUAUCUUGUUCAUAGUAUAUGAACUAGUUCUUAGUUCUUGUGCUAUGUUCUUGAUGUAUUCAUCCUUAUUCUUCAUCGUUCAUCGAAUUAGUAUGAAUAGACAAAGGAUUAAGAUUGAGGUAACGGUUCGUUGGGCUGUGAUGGCCACUCUUAGCCAAGCCUGUCAAUCCGAACGGUUGGGGUCCUGGGAGGCUAGGAGGCGUUUCCAAUUACACGGGCGAGGUGCUCGGGUAUGUGGAGAUCAGCGGAUGUGUGGGUAUCUUUCGGGUAGAGGGGUAGGUGGUAUGGUAGUGAUAGCCCUAUCAUCCCUGAUAUUCCCCCACGAUCAGGUAUUCCAGUAGGAGUUCUGUAAAGUCCCAAUCGGCUGGAUGUCCAGCUGCGGGGAUCUCCCCAGAGCCUCAGACUUAGUUCUAACUCUAGUUAUAUGGAUUAGAUGUUCUACUAACAAUUCUUUGCAUAGUAAUAUAAGAUCAAUGCCGGCUCAAGUAGUUGUUCUUUAUUUCUUUUAUUUCCUUAUUUUCUCUUUAUUCCUUGAGGUUGCCCCGAUGAGUGUGUCCACUAUCCAUAUUUUAAGAGCCUGUCGUGACCCCUAAUUAGACUAUGUCUACCUAUGCUUCUUAAUAAGUGAUCAUGCUACAAACCAAGCUAGAUGCAUUUGUUACGCCCACCCACGGGAUUAAAUACGAUAACCCUUGAAUACUCAUGGGUUGAAAUGCUACAAUGAUAGUUCUAUUCGCUUGCAGUUUUAUUCUUUAUAUUCAUGAACUAUUGAUUGGCAUACCUAAGUAUCGUUACUUAAGAUUGUAAACUCUGUGCAUUUAUCUGGCGCCGUGCUACAGCUUUGCAUAUCGUAAGUAAGGAUGGUUAGGAUGGCCAAUCCGGCAUUCCUAAUUAUUGUUACCAGACUGCACUGCUAAGGCCAGUGCCGUUAAAGGCCUUGGGUUAUCUCUCUGACGUAACGAUAGUUAUGGUAUACCAACACCUGACAUUUCUGGAGCCAUUGCUAAUGACGGAUUUAUAGUCUAUCUUUAGUAGUGACGCUAAGAAAUGCCAACACGCAGUUUGUGGGACGUGUUGGCCAAUGGCUCUUUGAGGCUUGGGGCUUCUAUAAAUAUGUCUUGGCCGGCUCUUGCUCACCCUCUUGACUCUCUAACUUGUUGAUACAUCUUGUGAGCACACUCCCACACAUCCCAAUCAUCUUGUUUGAGUUUUGGUUAUCCAAAGUGAGAUUGGGAGAGAUCCUAGUUGUAUUUUCUUUGAGUUUGAGCAUCUAGUGGCACUAGGGAGUAGGUUUGCUUGUUACUCUUAGUGGUUGCCGCCACCUAGACGGCUUGGAGCUGCGGUGGAGGACCGGCACGUGUUGGUGAUUGUUCAUGGCUGGCUCUGGUGUUGUGAGGGGUGUUGUGCCUACCUCGGCGGAGAGCCAAAGGCAACUUUAGUGGAUUGCAUGUGUCAUUGAGCUACCUCACUUGUGGGUAGGUUCUUGCGUGUCCUAGUGAGAACGAGGUUUGUGCUACACCUGUUAGCCGCUGAACCACCAAAUGUUGAUCGACACAAUGGGGACAUAGCAUGCUGGCAAGCACGUGAUCCUCGAGAGAAAAAUUAGUGUCUCAAUUGUGAUUGAUUGGCAUUCUCCUGGUGCUUGUUUGUUGAUAUAUUGGUGAUUGGUUCAUCCCCAACAUGGUGGUAUAAAUAUCUCUUCCUCUCCUUUUACUUACCGCAAAGUAGUGUAACUAGUUUAGUUGCUAGUCUUGCCUUGUGUAGCAUAGUUCACUAGUGUAGCUUGUAGUGACAUAGCUUUUGUGUGCCUAGUGAUUAUAGCAAAUAGAAUUGUCGGUUAGGUGGCUUGCAAACACUCCAUUAGAGCUAGAGCAAAAAGCUUUGCUUUGUUAUUUACUAACCUCUUGCUCUAGUGACUUUGUAGAAUUUUUAAAUAGGAUAUUCACCCCCCCUCUAGCCAUAUUAGGACCUUUCAAGUGGUAUCGGAGCCAUGGGCACUGUUUUGAGAAGGCUUAACAACCACAGUGCUCAAAUUAUGGCUCAAAUAGUGUUCAACCAUGUUGGGGGCAAACCACCGUUCUUUGAUGGCACAAGCUCUUUUGACUAUUGGAAGAGAAAAAUGAAAAUGUACCUUGGAUCAAUCAAUGAUAGAGUGUGGGAAGUCACGGAGAAUGACUUUGUGAUCCUUGAUCUUGCCAACCCCACUGACAAUGAGAGAGCCAACAAACAAUGGAAUACUAUAGCUCUCAACACAAUCUACAAUGGCAUUGAUUCAAAGGUGUUUGAACAAGUCAAAGAUCUUGAGAAGGCAAGUGAAGUGUGGACAAGGCUAGAAGAGACAUAUAAGGGCACUACAAUGGUAAAAUGUGCUAAGUUAUACAUGCUCAAGGACAAGCUAUCCAACUUCAAGAUGAAGGAUGAUGAGUCAAUCCCAGAGAUGCUCUAUAGGCUCCAAGUCAGCAUCAAUGAUCUCAAGGGCCUUGGUGAGAAAGUAAAGGAUAAGGACUUCAUUCACAAGUUCUUGAUGUGCUUGCCCAAGAGGUUCAAGACAUUGAGAACAAUCAUCUUUAGAGGUGGAUUGAAGAAUGUCUCUCCUAAUGAGGUACUUGGAGAUAUAAUGACCGAGGAUCGAUACAAUAACAAUGAUGAUGAUGAGGUAAUGAAGAAGGAUGAUGAUGAUAAGAAGAAGAAGUGUGUAGCAUUCGAAGCUAGCUCUUCAUGCAAGAGCAAGAACAAGGGCAAGGCCAAGAAGGAAGAAUCAAGUGAUGAGGAGUGCUCUAAUGAUGAUAGUGAUGAUGAAGCUCUAGCACUCUUUGUCCGAAAAUUUGGCAAUAUGAUGAAGAAGAAGGGCUACCAUACAAGAAAGAGAAGAGACCACUCCAAGAAUAAGGAGUAUGUGAGGCUAUGCUACAAGUGCAAAAGUCUCAAUCAUAUUGUGGCAGAUUGUCCUUACAAUAUGACAAUGAUGAGCAUGACAAGAAGAGCAAGAAGAAGAAAGAAAAGAAAGAGAAGAAGAUGGUCUUUAAGAAGAAGAAGGGUGGAUCCUAUGUUGUGACAUGGGAUAGUGAUGCUUCUUCGGAUGAUGAUUUAUGGCCAAGGGCCACAAGGUACAAUGUGAUGAGAGUGAAAGUGAAAGUGAACAUGAACAUGGUAGUGAUAGUGAUGUUAAAAAUGAAUUCAGUAAUGAACAACACAUGGACAUGUUAGAGCAAGCCGAUUCACUUAUUCAAUCUAAAAACAAGAAGUGCAAAGAAUUGACCAAGAAGUUAAAAGCUCUUGAGCAAUUCUUUCAUGAGCUCAAUGCUACUCAUGAGAGGCUAGUGGAUGCCCAUGAGAAGCUUGGCAAAGCUCACACCAAGCUUGAAAAAGCUCACUCCUUGUUAUUAGAAGAGAACAAGGAAAAUGUUGUUGUAUCAUGUGAUGUGGGCACAACAUGUGACUUAAUUAAGGAAUCACCCGACCAACCUAUUGUUGUUGCCACUAACUCUUCUUGUAGGUCUUCAUCCACCACAACUAACUCUACCUCUACCUCUAGUGUCAGUGUCACUUGUGAUGCUUCACUAAAGGUUAAGAAUGAGACCCUCAAGAGAGAGGUGGAUGAGCUCACUCACACCCUAGGAAAGGCCUAUGGUGUUGAGGCCCGCUUGCUAAAGUGCUUGGGUUGCCAAAGGUUUUCUCUCAACAAAGAGGGAUUAGGCUAUGCCCCCAAAAAAGGCAAGGCGGCCUUUGCAACUCACAAGCUUAGCUUUAUGAAGAGCAAUAGUCGGUAUUGCAAUAGAUGCAAGCAAGUUGGGAACCUAGAGCUUAAUUGCAACAAAAUGAACAAGAACAAGAAAAUUGCUAAUGUACCCUACAUUCCUUUUGAUUCUUGUUAUAUGCUUACCAAGGGUGAGAAGGGUGUGCAUGCUAAGUUUGUUGGUACACCAAUUGUGGGUCCAAAGAAGAAGGCCAUUGGGUAACAAAAAGCUUAGUCACUAACCUCUAAGGACCCAAACAAGUAUGGGUACCUAAGAAACAUUGAUUUGUUUUGUAGGUAAAUUAUAAAGCCGGAGGAAGGCAUUGGGUGCUUGAUAGUGACACAACACGUGACCGGUGAUGCAAGAAUGUUUAAUUCAAUCAAUCCAAAUGAUGACAAUGGUGUUGAUAGUAUCACAUUUGGUGAAAAUGGCAAAGGCAAGGUCAAAGGGCUUGGUAAAAUUGCUAUAUCCAAUGAUUUAAGCAUUUCCAAUGUGCUACUAGUAGAGUGCUUGAACUUCAACUUGCUAUCUAUAGCUCAACUUUGUGAUCUUGGUUUCAAAUGCACAUUUGGAGUUGAUGAUGUAGAGUUCAUAAGUGUAGAUGGCUCUAACUUGAUAUUCAAAGGCUUUAGAUAUGAGAAUCUAUACUUGGUUGAUUUCAAUGCUAGUGAAGCUCAAUUAUCAACAUGCUUGCUCACUAAAUAUAGCAUGGGUUGGUUAUGGCAUAGAAGGCUUGGUCAUGUUGGAAUGAAACAAUUUAACAAGUUAGUCAAGCAUGAUCUUGUUAGAGGCUUAAAAGAUAUCACAUUUGAGAAAGAUAAGCUUUGUAGUGCAUGUCAAGCUAGAAAACAAGUUGGCAACACUCAUCCAAAUAAAAGUAUCAUGAGUACAUGCAAGGCAUUUGAGUUGUUGCAUAUGGACUUAUUUGGACCAACCACAUACACAAGCAUUGGUAAAAAUAAAUAUGGAUUUGUAAUAGUGGAUCAUUUCACAAGAUACACAUGGGUAUUCUUUCUUAGUGACAAGAGUGAUGCUUUUGCAACCUUCAAAUCAUUUGUCAAAAGAAUACAAAAUGAGUUUGAAACAACCAUCAAGAAAGUGAGAAGUGACAAUGGGAGUGAAUUCAAGAAUACAAGAGUUGAUGAGCUUUGUGAUGAAUUUGGCAUUAGGCAUCAAUUCUCGGCCAAGUACACUCCACAAUCAAAUGGUCUUGUUGAGAGGAAGAACAGAACCUUGAUUGACAUGGCAAGAUCAAUGUUUAGUGAGUACAAUGUGAGUCAUUCCUUUUGGGCCGAUGCAAUCAACACGGCUUGCUACUAUAGCAACCGACUCUAUUGUCACCAUAUGAUGGAGAAGACACUAUGUGAGCUCUUGAAUGGAAGAAAGCCCAACAUUGCAUAUUUUUGAGUUUUUGGUUACAAAUGCUACAUAUUGAAGAAAGGCACUAGAUUGAGUAAAUUUGAAAAGAAAUGUGAUGAAGGUUUCUUGCUUUGUUACUCCACUACUAGCAAAGCUUAUAGAGUUUGGAAUUUGGCUAGUGGUACUCUUGAGGAGGUGCAUGAUGUUGAGUUUGAUGAAACCAAUGGCUCUCAAGAGGAAGAUGAGAAUCUAGAUGAUGUGAGAGGAACUCAAUUGGCCAAUGCAACGAAGAAUAUGGACAUUGGUGAUUUAAGGCCUAGAGAGGUGAUUGAUGUUGAAGAUGACAAAGAUCAAGUGCUUCCUACCUCUAAUGUGCAAGCUAGUGGUUCUCAUGAUCAAAAUCAAGCUAGUACAAGUGGUACACAAGUGCAAGAUUAACAAGCUAGUAUAUCAUCUCAUGAUCAACCAAGUGCAAGCAAUCAAGUGCAAAUACUCCAACCAAAGAUGGAAGAUUGAACUUUUCUAUAAAUGAUAAAGAGUAGAAUAGAAGCCCUAAGACUUAGUAGAUAGGAUGUAAACUUAGGCACUUUAUUCUACUCUACUUGAUCCUAUGAGUCAUCUCUAAUUGUGGAUUCCCUAUCAUUAUCUCAUUACUAUUAUUAUUACCAUCACUAUUAUUUGUCUUACCACUAUUUAGAUAGAAGUGGUUAAUUGAUUUGAAUCUAGAGAAUGUUUUUGUAAUUCUUUUAGCCAUAUCAAUUUUCUCUUCUAGAUCCCUUCUAGAAGCUCCUAGUGGUAAAAUUAUAAAUAACGAUACAUGGAACUUUCCUGGGUGAAAUGCUACAACAAGAGUAUUUUAUCUGUGCACUUGCAGAUAACUUUUGUUUCAUAUUUUAUAAGUGCCAAGAUUAUAAGUACCACUACAUUUCUUACGUCGUGUUAAGGAUGACAACCUAGCGGGUGUGGCAUAAGAGAUGCCAACAAGCAUUUCUAGCACCGUUGUCGGGGGCUUCUAUUAGGAAAUAUUUAUAUAUGGCUAUCAGAAGAAUACAUCAAAUAUAUACUUAUAGAUAAAAAUCUUAACCAAGUAUUUCUAUCUUUUUAGGCUUACCCUUGUUCUAUCUUUGUUUAUAUUUUAUACAUGGUAAUUGUUGACACUAGCUAACACCGCUUAGAUACUAGGUUGUCAUCCCCAGCAUGGUGCCAGAGUGUACAAAGGUAUUUAUAAAUGUAAAGGCUCUCUAGAAAAUAAUCUAUUCUAUCCGCAAGCCCAUAGAUAAAACACCUCAUUGUAGCAUUUCACCAGGAUAAGUAUUCCAGGUAUCGUUAUUUAUAAUUCUGCUUAAGAGAACAAAAUGGAUGAAAUUAAAUUAAGGACAAAAUCUAUCAAGGCAUAGACUAGAGAUAAACUUGCAAGAACAUGAUUACUAAUGAGAAACUCGUCACACAGUCACUUACUUUAGCAGGGGGUAAACCAUAAAGAUAAUGAUAAUGAAUUAUAAGUUCAAGGGAUAAAUAACACAGCGAUUAGAAAAUAGACUACUCCUCAUAUAUGUAGGUGAUGUCGAAUUAGCUAGAGAAUGGAUUCUAAGUUAUCUACUAACUACUAAGUCAUAAUCUACUCUAGUUAUCUACAAGAUCAUAUAUAGCAUAAAAGACUCUUCAUUCAUGUAUAAGGAACAUUGAUAAAGUAAAUCAGAGCAUCGCACGACUUACUACACAAUACCGGUUCUGCCUGUCCUAUCAACGGAGGGUGGACUAUAUAAGAAUCAACGAAGCUGUCACUAUCGCAAACUACCACACAACCCGGCCAAUAGGAUACAUUUGCAGAUAAAUAACAUCUAAGCACCACGCUCACAUGUGAUCUAUCACCUAACUCCCUCGCGUCAAGAGCUAAGCACUUUGCAAACUCAUGCAUAAACUCAUUAUCAAUUAGAACUAUAUCAAAUAUAGAACUAGAACAAACUAAGAACAAAAUAAUUAGAGACAUAAUGCAAUUAGAACAAAGAAUUAGAGAAAUAUAUGAAUAAUACCAAUCUUUAUUACCGAAGAUCCGAAACUAGAGCGUAGUGCUCUACUUCUCUAAUUGCUAUCUAAUCAAACCUCUAAACUUGAAGGAUUAGGGAGUAGCUAAUUCUAAUUCUCUGUGGGAGAGAAGCUCUAAACCCUAACUUUGAUGGCUACCUCUGAAUAAUGAUUUCUUCUCUUCUCCUCUCUCCUCCAGGGGGAGAGGCCUUGGUUUUAUAGUCCCUUCAAGUGAAUUUGAACCGUCGGAUCAAACCGACAUUGAUUGUGUGGUUUAGAUUGAUCCUUUAGGUCAGUGGAGUUUAGCCCCGAAGCAGAGUCCUAAUUGGACUCCUGGCCUGGGCGGGCGCCCAAGGGGGGUGGGCGGGCGCCCUGCCCCCGAGCCCGAUCCUCUUCUCGUUCGUUCCCGUGGCUUCUGGACUCUUCUAGAUUGAAGAAAAUUGCGCGGCACGUAAUUAUCUCAUUGUAAACAUGACAUGUGGGCCUUCUCUCCAUAUUCUCUGAUAACCCCCUACAGAAAUAUAUAAACACCAAAGCUCGUGGAAUUCUGUCACAUAAAACCCUAAUUCUAGAUGUUUGUUUCAGAUUGAUCCUUUUCCAUGUUUAUUUGAUUGUUAAUUUUAGUACUUAAGGACCGUCAACAAACUCCCCCAAGCUUACCCUUUGCUCGUCCCUGAGCAAAUAGCUAAACUCAGACGAUUCAGGAGUUGCUUCGAUGUUUUCUAUCCUGACAGGCACACAUGCUUUUAUAUAAAAAUUCUUCCAGAUUAGAGUGAAGUGUUAUGGAGUUUAGUACCUGCACUUAAGUCUUAAGUAAUUGAAAGACAAAAUAAUUAAGUCAAGCACUAUCCCUCCUGCUAUACUUCACCUUUGUUCCAGAGUUUUUCAUAAGUUUUCAAAAUAAAACUCAGAGUUCCCAGCAAUGAUUCUCUCAAGUCUCUCUAUAUGUGGUAUUUGUGGAUCCUUACCAAAAUGUCACUUAACUAUAGCUAAUGGAAUAUUUAAGUAGAGCUCAUAGGAGUGAAAAACAGCUCAUACAUAUGUUGUCUAAUCGAGCCAUGGAUCCAAAGGAACUCAGCAGAUAAUUAAAUCAAGAUGUGCAUGUGUGAUGGAGUAAAUGAUAGUGAUGCAUAAGUGAUAAUAAAACUUAGUUCUCAUUGCUCCUCAUAUUGUUAUCUCUCAUCUUCUUUGAUCUUUGCUUUGGGAGAACAUGGGCUAUCUUUUCUUUCUUUUUCUUCUUUUUUUCAGGUGGGUAGUAGAUACCCCUAAUUCUACUGUCGGACACUUGUCCAUUUUUUCCGCUCAAGUGGGCAUCUUUGUACCCCUAAUUCUACUCCGGACACUUGUCCAUUUUUACCUCUCGUCUCACUCUUUUUCUUUCUUUUUUGAGGUUUUGGGCACUUGCCCCUUUUUAUUUCCUUGCAUAUUUUUGCAUAACCCAUGCCUCUUCUGCAUUGAAUCUUUUUAGAGAGAGAAAAUAACAAUACUUGGGACAGUGAGUGAUAAUGUAUUUUUUUUUAGCAAUUUUAAUGAUUGGUGAUGAAUGCUGUGGUAGAUGUGUGCAAGUGAAUAUCUUAAUUUAACCACAUGAAAAGCUCCUAAGGGUCUACACAGCUCGAUCAAACUCAAUGUAAAUAUAGUAAAAGAUGUUAUAGCAAGUAUGGCUGUGGUAGGUAGUUUGUUAUGCUAGGAACUCAUCAUGUGCUUUGUAAGUUUUCAAAAUAAAUCUCCAGAAUCUUAGUGUAGUAGGAACAAGAUAAACAGCAGCUCAACUUUAUAUCAUGCCUUUCUCUUACCUAGACAUUAGUUUUAUGCUUCCCAAAGAUAGUAAGUUUUAGUAAUUCCUGGAAGAACUCUAAUAUAAAAGCUAGGUACUUGUAACAGAGCAACUGUUCAUCAUUUCCAUCAUGCAUUUUUUUGGUCUUUUUGUUUUUCUAGAGAUUAAACUUAGCAGAUAAAUAAAGCACACUUAUCUACGCACUCUUUUUAUUUUGUUUUCAUGUUUAUAAAAUGCAGUAAAUUAAAGCAAGAAAAUAUUUAUUGGGUUUUCUAAGUUUUUCCUUUUAAGAUAAAAAACUAAAAUAGAAAAUAAUAAAUAAGAAGAGCAAAUAAAAACUUACUUGAUAAAUUGGGGAGGAACUCCCCCAAGCUGGAUGUUGAUGUCGGCCUUACCCGAGGUUCUAGAACCGCAUCAUGGUUGUGAUGUUGUCGUUCAUUGUUGUUGUAUCUUGUCUUAGCUUUUGUACUGCAGCGGCAUGGUCCUGGUUCCAUUUUGUUGCUCUUCCGGGAGUCGUCCAUGUUCUGCUUGCAUGUUCUGGAUGUCGAGGAGAGUGUUGUUGGUACGAGUGAAGAAAGCACCGGCCUCUUGAUAGUAGUCAUUCGUGAAAGCAUAGGAGGCAUCGGAGUAUCGUCCUGCAUCAAAUUGGGGCAGAGGUCUGGAUCCUGAAGCUCCAUAUGGAUCAGUGGAGUACCUGCCCGUAUGGAAAGGCGGGUUUGUCCACUGGUGAUCAUGGCUCUUCGGCCAUGUCUCCUCUAUUGGCUCUUGUGGUUGCGCAUGUCGAACCCAUGGGUCUCGAAGGACUCGGGGGUUGUAAUCGCAAUAAUGCAGGUGCGCUGCUUCUUCUGGUCCGGGAUCAGCUCCAUACCAGGUGCGUUCUCGAUGGGUGGUCAUCCUUUCAGAUGCCACUCGCUGUGGAGCUCUCUGGUUCACUGGUGUUGCUGCAAUCUCAAUCAAAAAGUUUUGAACAACGUAGAGGCCAAGGUUCGGGUUAGGUAACCGAAUCUUGCCUCUAUCAUCAUAUAGCAUAUAUAUUAUAUUCCCCUCUUUCUUUAACAUCCGAGCUUGUCUAAAUGUGUCAUAGCCAUGAUAAAUUCUUAACUCAUCUAUGAAGUCCAACGAUGAGUUUUCUAGUAAAUGAAGGUUAGAGGCUAGACGAGUGAUAAGUGAAGUGCAUCCUACUGGUCCCUAUAGACUAGGUACACUAAGCCAAUGAGAAACUAAAAGUGUAACAGGUGAAGUAGGUACUUUAUUAAUAGCAGCAUAUAAAAGUUGUAAAUCUCUUACUCUUACUUUCCUAAUAUCAUCCCGAUAGAAAAGAUUGUACCCAAGCCAUUUGUGGAACAUCCUAAGAGUGGGGUGUUCCAUGUCACUGGUUCGGGCUUGACUAUAAAAAUUAUCUCUAGAUAUUUCUCUCCAAAACUGGUGUCUCUCAAAAUUAGGUAGGUCGGAGUCAAUGUUCAGGAUGCAUCUUGAAGAGAAACCAAGAUGGUCGCUCAGCUCUCUCCAAGACAACAUAAUUUCCUGUUUGAACAUCCGAAAAACAAUUCCCCCCUCAUAAUAUUGUAAGGUGCAAAGAAAUUCGAGGGUGAGAAGACGAGAACCCAGCUCAGUUAUAUUCCAAAAAUUUGUCCAACCUAUCAUUUGGAAAAUUAAGUCAAAUUCAGUGUCCAUACUUGUUUCUUGUAGUAAGAUUGGAUCGAGAGUAGGGGUGUGAAUAAAAUCUUUGUUCUUUAAUUGCUGAUAUACUUCUUUCUCUCUUCGGGUCUUCAGUCCAAGGUCUCCUAUCUUGAGAAGGACCUUGACUUGCUGAUUAGAUGAAGAUGACGGAGCUUGUGUGGGCGUUGGGUCGACGCUCAUCUCUGAUGGCUGUGAGGAGUGUCGGGAUGAACUCCUUGUACCAAUGUUCUUGAGAGCCUUCCCUGCAUUCUUCACCUUCUUAAACAUCCUGCAAACAAAAGUUGGCAAAAACACAACUAGUGGAAAAUGUAAGAGAAAAUGUUAGUGGUCAGCUGUCCGGAAUGUCAGUAGCCCAGGGGUUAGUCGUUCAAGAUAAGUUUCUAUUUUGGCAGAACUUCCCCCUAAACAACUUUUACUUCCACUUAGACAACUACUUACUAGGUGAUACUUACUCUCUCACUCAUAAGAUCUCCCAACCUUCUCACACUCAGAGCUAUUCUCUGGAAACCGAGAACUACGAGCUUGCAAGGUUUUCUGAAAUGUAUGUGUGAAGAGAAGGGGAGCUAGAGGUGGCCAUUUAUAGGCUGAGCAGGGAACAGGGCGGGUGCCCUGGGUAGGUGGGCGGGUGCCCACCCCUGGUGCCCGUCCUGGGUGUGCCUCCUCUACUUGCUUCCUUGCUUUGAUCUCACGCAGAAUAAUGUUGUGUUGGUGGUGGUUGGACGGUGGAAAGAUGUCUGGUGAGUGGAAACAUAUUGGUGGAUGAAAUUAUGUGAUGGGAUGUAUGUGAGGUGAAGUGUAUGACAUGUGGGACCCAAGGAGUGUGGGUCAUGCUUCUAGAAGGUUACUAUAAUUAAAUAUAAUGCAGGGAAAUCUAUGAGAAUUGAAACUUAAUUAAAAUGAUUAUGGAAAAUAUUUUUGUGCCUCCACAAUAAUUAAUAAAUAUGGGUUGUUACACACCAUGAAUAUUAUUUAUAUGGGGCUUUUGAUUAUUAUAAUAAUGCUAUGAAUAAAUGUGACUAAUGCAAGAUUUAAUUAUGCAAGAAUUUAAAUAUGAGAAAAUUAAUAAUGCGGAUAAAUACCGAUUUACCUCCCGGUGAGGGUUUGGGAUUUUUAGGUCCCCCAAGCUGGACCUCCAAAUCUUUUAAUCUUCUGAAUUACCUUUCUCCGGAGAUGAUGUCUCUAGUGGUUCUUCAUGAACUUCCUUCACUGUAGAGUAUCUCUCUGGUCUGGGUUUGAAUGUGAAGUGUUCUUCUUGUCCGUUUAUGUUGAACUUGAUUUCUCCUUUCCCGACAUCAAUGUGGGCAUUGGCAGUGCUCAGAAAUGGCCUUCCAAGGAUGAUGGACACUUUUGAGUCAGGACUCAUGUCCAGUACUACGAAGUCUACUGGCACCAGGAAAUCUCUGAUCUUGACUGGAAUGUUCUCGGCGAUACCCAACGGAUGUCGAACCGAUUGAUCCGCUAGUUGUAGGCACAUUGAUGUUGGUUCUAGGGUUACAUGCUCAAGCUUUUUGUAGACUGAUGCUGGCAUGACACUGACACUUGCUUUGAGAUCACAGAGUGCAUUGUUGAAGUGUUGGUUUCCGAUCGAGCAAUCAAUAGUGGGGCAUCCUGAAUCUUCCUUCUUCUUCGGUAGUUUGUUGAGGAUGGCCGCACUACAUUCUUCUGUCAGCUUGAUAACCUCAGUGGUGGGCAGUGGUCUCUUCUUGUUAAGAAUAUCUCUGAUGUACUUCGCAUAUGUAGGUACCUGUAUGGCAUCCAACAGAGGUAUGUUGACAUAUAAUUUCUGAAUGACCUCUACAAACUUACAAAACUGCUCAUCCGACUGCAAUCCUCUGUUUCUUCUGGGAAAUGGCAAAUAGUUGGUGUCGUAAAAAUCCUCAUUUCUCAAGUUCUUGGUGGUUGUAGCAGAUCUUCUGCUUCAACUGGGCUUUCUUCUUCUAUCACUGCUGGUUGCACUGGUGCUGAUGUUCUUUGUUUCUCUUUUGGGUAUGGGGGAUCUCUGGUGGCUUUGCCUCCUCUAGUAGUUAUGUUGUUUACCUGCUCAAUGUUAGUAGCAACAGGCAGUGCAGCAGCUAUCUUUAUUAAUUUAAGCUCUACCCUUUUAUUAAAAGUGUUUUGCUCAUCAAAGGCAGUUAGUAGAAAAUCCAUUUUAUUGUAUAUAUCUUUUAGAGAUGAUUCAUUUGUGUCUAGCCUUUGUUUAACUUAAUCAUUAAUUUUAGUUUGUUGAGCAAUUAUCUCUUUUAAUGAAAGUUGCUUGAAAGUAUUACCUGAAUUCAUACCUUUGCUAUUGGGUUGACUCGAAGUUGGUUGAUAUUUGUUUGCUGUCUCAAUGGCCCUUUGAUCUUCUUUGAACUUGGCCCUCUGGUCAAUCCAAUGGAGCAAAUUUUCCAUCUUAGUUGAUAAUGCAUUUACUUCUUCUGGUAUUCCUUCAGUUUGAUGACAUUGUUGAGCUUUAUCUUGGAACCAGCUUUGAUUUUCUGCUAUCUUAUCCAAAAGUAUCUCUGCUUUUCCAGUUGUAAGCUCCAAGAAUGAUCCUUUAGCAGAUGCAUCUAGGCACUCACGAGCCUUCUGGAUUAAUCCAUGGUAGAAGGUCUGCAUAAGUAACCAUGUGGCCAUUCCAUGGUGAGGACAAUCUGAUAUGUAUCCUUGAAAACGCUCCCAUGCUUCUGAAAUGGCUUCUGUCUUCUGUUGUUGGAAACUGACAAUAUUUCCUCUUAAGGCAUUUGUUUUGCCUAUAGGGAAAAACUUUGAUAGAAAGGCAUCUGACAAGUUCGUCCAGUUGUUGAUGUUAUCUUGAUGAGUGUAGAACCACUUCCUCGCUUUCCCUUCUAGUGAGAAUGGAAAAAGGCGAAGUAGUAUGACGUCUUUGUCAACUCCGUUGAUGUGGAUUGUGCUUCCAAUCUCUAAAAAAUUCUGCAAGUGUGCACUAGCAUCUUCAUGUGCUUUUCCACUGAAUUGUAUAGCUUGCACCAAAUUGAUGAGGCUUGACUUGAGCUCAAACUCGGGUACUCCUUCUUCUACUGCAAAUCUUGGACCAGUUGGAAUGUUCUCAAGACUUGGAGCAGAGAAUUCUUGCAAGGUCUUUUGUGCCAUAGCUUCAGCAAUUGGUAGCUAGCUUCUUCUUCUCUUGAUUGCUUUGGUUCUGAUGAUGAAGAGUUGAAUGUACCCAAAGUCAAUCCUGAUAUACCCUGUAUAAAAAUAUAAACAUAGAAAAACAACAGGGUGAACCUGCCAAAGUAGAGGUGCCUUGUUAUGAUUUCUCACUUAGUAGCUGUUUUAUGCAAUUAUUUCUCUAUAGUCUAGUCUAAUAUUUUAUAUGAAUAACCUUGACUGAUUUACUGGCUUUCCUUACCAUUCCUAUGUGUUACCCAUUUGUUCCCCGGCAACGGCGCCAGAAAUGCUUGUUGACACUAGCUAACACCACUUAAAUACUAGGUUGUCAUCCCCAGCAUGGUGCCAGAGUGUACAAAGGUAUUUAUAAAUGUAAAGGCUCUCUAGAAAAUAAUCUAUUCUAUCCGCAAGCGCACAGAUAAAAUACCUCAUUGUAGCAUUUCACCAGGAUAAGUAUUCCAGGUAUCGUUAUUUAUAAUUCUGCUUAAGAGAACAAAAGGGAUGAAAUAAAAUUAAGGACAAAAUCUAUCAAGGCAUAGACUAGAGAUAAACUUGCAAGAACAUGAUUACUAAUGAGAAACUCGUCACACAGUCACUUACUUUAGCAGGGGGAGAGGCCUUGAAGGAUUAGGGAGUAGCUAAUUCUCUAAUUGCUAUCUAAUCAAACCUCUAAACUUGAAGGAUUAGGGAGUAGCUAAUUCUAAUUCUCUGUGGGAGAGAAGCUCUAAACCCUAACUUUGAUGGCUACCUCUGAAUAAUGAUUUCUUCUCUUCUCCUCUCUCCUCCAGGGGGAGAGGCCUUGGUUUUAUAGUCCCUUCAAGUGAAUUUGAGCCGUCGGAUCAAACCGACAUUGAUUGUGUGGUUUAGAUUGAUCCUUUAGGUCGGUGGAGUUUAGCCCCGAAGCAGAGUCCUGAUUGGACUCCUGGCCUGGGCGGGCGCCCAAGGGGGGUGGGCGGGCGCCCUGCCCCCGAGCCCGAUCCUCUUCUCGUUCGUUCUCGUGGCUCCUGGACUCUUCUAGAUUGAAGAAAAUUGUGCGGCACGUAAUUAUCUCGUUGUAAACAUGACAUGUGGGCCUUCUCUCCAUAUUCUCUGAUAACCCCCUGUAGAAAUAGAUAAACAACAAAGCUCGUGGAAUUCUGUCAGAUAAAACCCUAAUUCUAGAUGUUUGUUUCAGAUUGAUCCUUUUCCAUGUUUAUUUGAUUGCUAAUUUUAGUACUUAAGGACCGUCAACAGUAAUCUAGGUUUAGUUGUGAGCAAUCAAUAUUUGAAUUAAAAUCAACUCAACCUAGAAGAUCAACAUGAGUGGUGAAGACAAUGGCUGACAAGACUUUGAAGGAGUUCUCUACUCCAAGCAUCAGGAAUAUUCGUGUUGGGCCAACACUCCGGAUGGAUAACUGUUGAUAUUUGGUAACGCAAUUAGAAAAUGAUCCGCAAGCGCACGGAUAUCGGUGAGCAUUUCACCCGGGAGGUUAUCCAGAGUUAUCGUAUUUAUAUUUUUACCACUGGGAGAAAGGGUGCAUCUGACUAACCAAAUCUAUUGCUACUAUCCCUUUAGGCUACAAAGAAUGUCUCUCGAUGUGAGUGAUGUAUAGAGAAGACUGCAACCGUAGUCUCGUUCUAACCUUGGUAAGGAUGAUCUACUGUUCUAUUGGGGAGGCUCACGGAAUCUAGACAACACAAAGGAUGUUCGACCCGCACCUAUAAACCUACCCGUCCUGCUAACGAGAUGUGAUCUACAAAGGUAACUCGGAAAUGUCACGUUCCUUGCUACAACCACGGUCCAGCUAGUCAGGGGAUAUCUAUGAGUACCCUAGCCUAAACACCACGUUUACGCUAACAAGUGAUUACUCUAAUACUCAACUGGAAGAGGAUUAAAGUAAACUCAUAAACCAAAGAACAAUAAAACAAGAACUUACUAGUAUUAGAAGUCGAAUUACUAAAGAAUCUUAGAAGCAAGCCUCGGGUUAGGAGACUUGAUCCCGUAGGUACAACUCGGAGUAGACACCGACAGGCCGGCCUUCCUCCGAUCCACACCUCCACUCUAUCUCUCUCAAUCUAGUAGAAACUAGAAGAUCUAUUUCUACCUUACAUUGGUUGCUAAGCCUAAAAAGAAAUAUUAUUUAGAGAAGAGGUUUUCCUUCGAGGGCACCCCUCAAUCUCUAUGAUAAUUUCUUGUCUUCUCCAGGGGCCAGGGGGGCCUUGCUUAUAUAGUCCUCCCCUUCUAUGCGUUUUUGGGUCAAUAGGCGAGGUGGUACUAUGUUAUUCUGGAUCCAAUAGGUCGGUGGAACGUCGUGUGCGAAGAGAGUCCUGUUUGGGCAGGGCGGGCGCCCUGGGCCUGGCCCCGUUUCGCCUCCGCUUCGGUCUCGUGGCUUCUGGAGUCUUCUAGAUGGUAGAAAAUUGCGCGGUGGGUUGAUAUCUCUAUGUAAUCCCGAUAUGUGGGCCUUUCUUCCUUAUUUCCUGAUAACCCCCUGCAGAAAUAGACAAACACCAAAACUCGUGGAAUUCUGUCAGAUAAAACCCUAAGUCUAGAUGUUGAUUUCAUUUGGAUCCUUUUCUUUGUUUAUUUGAUAAUUAAAUUUGAUACUUAAGGACCGUCAACAAACUCCCCCAAGCUUACCUCUUGCUCGUCCCUGAGCAAAGAUAGACUUAGCUAUGGAUCAGAAGUUGCUGCAAUAUAUAUAUAUUUUUUUAAAAAAAAAAAAUUGGCGGUACACAUGCUUUUUAAAUAAGAUCUCAUCUCUGAGUUAGAGUAAACUGUCAAGACUUAAAACUUACUUACUUUACCUUCACCAUGGGACUUGUAACCGUCACUUCUGUCUUGAGUGGUUAAAAGAUAGAACAGUCUAGUCAAGUGCCAUGUCUCUUAUUCUUGAUCAGCUAUAGCUCUGGGGCUUUUGCAGAUUUUCAAAUAAAACUCAGAAAUUCCUUGUAUGAUUCUCUCAGGUCUCUCUUUUGUGGUAUUUUUGGAUCCUUACCAAGGCAGUGAUGGUAUAUGCCUUCUCUCAAGAUAUGUAGUAUUUGUGGUAUGAAGCAUAGUGACAUUGCCUUCUCUCUCACCCUACUCUAAUAAGGCUUUAAUAUCUGGAGCUCAUAGGUGGGAGAUAAAAUAUACAUACUUACAAGACAUGUAUUGUGUAGUCAAACCAUGGAUCCAAAGUAACAAGUCAAUAAGUUUAAUCAAGAUGUGCAUGUGUGGUGAAUGAAUGGUGUAUGAUGAUAAUGGUGAUAACAAUGGUGGAAACAAUGGUGGUGGAAGUCUAAUUCUACUUUGCUCUUUUGAGGGGAUACAUACCUUCCUUGCUUUUUGAAACUUUAUGAGGAGAAUGAGAUGCUCUAUAUAUAUGUUUUUUUUUCUUUUCUCUCAGGUGGGUAUCUUGUACCCCUAAUUCUACUGUCGGACACUUGUCCAUUUUUACCUCUCGUCUCACUUUUUCUUUUCUUUCGAGGUUCCGAGCACUUGCUCCUUUUUAUUUCCUCGUAUCUUUUAUUUUCUUUUUUUCUUCUUCUUUUUUUUCUCUUUUUUUUUCUAGAGCACUCAUCUCCUGAAAUAAUGUAGCAAGUGGUAGUAACAAGAUAACUUGAGCAUUUAUUUCACAAGGGGAAACAGAAAUAUUUUUGGUUAUUCUCUCCCGGAUUAGGAGUAGAAUACUUUUGGGUGGUUUUGGAGAUGGAAAUGAGUGGAUAUAUGUGGAUGGUACUUCCGGAGUAGAAGUAGCAUGUAUGAGUGAACGUGCAAGUGAAUCUUGAUUUAACCACAUGACAAGCUCCUAAGGGUCUACACAGCUUGACCACACUCAAUGCUCAUAAGCAGUAAAUAUUAAAUGUGUGGCUCAAAGUCUAGCAAGCAUGUAUAUAUGGCUGUGGUAGGAAUUUAAACUCUCAUCAUACAGGAACUCAUCAUGCAACGUUUUAAAGAUUUUCAAAGAUAUAAUUCUCCAGAAUUCUAGCAUCUCUAGGAACAGAUAAACAGCAGCUCAACCUUCCCAUAUCGUAUCCGUUAACAACUUAGACUUCAGAUCAAGUUUUCAUCCCACAAGUUUAGGUCUAGAGAAAGCUUUAAAUUAUAACAGUUAUAUCUAAACUUGAGAGAGAACUUAAAAUUUGCAAAUUAGGCAGAGCAACUAUUUAUCAUAUCCAUGCUUAAGUUUUAUUUAGAUACAGAUUGGCAUAGCUACUUUAUUUAUUUAUUAAACACACUAAGCAAAAGACAUAUAUAUAAGCAUAAAAUCUUUAUUUGGUUUUCCAUAGUUUAUGUGUAUUUAUAUUCUAAAAUAAUAUAAGUAUAAAGAUAGAUAGAAAUACUUAUCGAGAUAAAUGGGGGUGCUCUCCCCCAAGCUGAAUUUUGACGUAGUUUCUCUUGAUGUAGCUAGCAGGUGGCAGAGGUGUAUUUGAAAGUCAGCAGCAUUCUGACAGCGAUUAGAAUGUCCUCCGUCUGCUAGUCUUCUUGAUUCUUAAAUUCUGUGGAGCUCAAAUAGACAACAUAGCUUGUGGAACUGAUUAAGUGUUAGCAUAAAGUGUUAGCAUAAAUAUCUAGCCUUUAUCAUGUUAAGACUCCUUAAUAAAUAUUACUCCCUGUUUUUAUAUUUUUGUUUUUAUAAAGCAGAAAAAUAUUUAUUUUAUUUUUAUGCCACCACAGUGAAUGUACUUAUGGGUUUUAUGCCACUCGUCUACUCACAUGGGGCUUACAGUUUUUUUUUCACAUUUUUAUUUUCUUUCUAGGAUAAUACGAACAUGAUUAACUAAGUAAACUAUUUGAAAUAAUUAAAAGGGAAAGGAUAACUACCAAGUUUACCUCUUGGCAAGGCGUUCGGUGUUUUUAAGUCCUCCGAGCGGGACUCUCCAUUUUCUUAAUCGUCCUGGGAUUCGCUGGAUGACGUAGUCGGUGGUUCCGGCGGCGCCUCCUCUUCGUGUGUAACUAUAUUCUCUCUCCACACCUGACUCGGUACUACGGUCUCCUCAGGACAGUUAUGUUCAAGUGGUAUGUCUUCAGUCCUUAUCACUUUCCUUCGUAGUCUACCCAUCCGUCCUUGAUGAUUUGCCUCCUCUGGUUGCGGUUGCGAUGUCUUCUUCUUGUCCUGACCUGCUUAGAGUCUUCAACUAUAUAGUUAGGGUCAGUAAAGUAGUGGCGUACCUUCUCAGAGAGGAAGUGCAUGUGGACUUCUCCGGUUCCAAUAUAGAUGAUGGCUUUGAUAGUGUUGAGGAACGGUCUUCCAAGGAUGAUGGGUGGAUCAUACUCGUCUUCUCCCAUGUCAAUGACCUGAAAAUUGUCUGAAGCUGAAUGUAUCUUGGUUGUAGGGGCAUGGUUCUAUGCGAGCUGAUAAGUGACUGCGGCCAUUAUGUUGUCGUCAGAUCCAGUGUCGUAGAGUGUCUUCUAAAAAGAGUAUCCAUUGUUUGUGCAUUCGAUUCUUGGAACACCAGGGUCGUCCUUCUUGAUCAAGAAAGGUGACUUGAGUCGACGAUCUUGACCUCCUUGAGCUGCAGUGACCAUCUUAGCUGACUCGGUCCACAUUUGCUUGUUCCUGUUCCUCCUGUUGGUCCUCUUCCUUGGUUCAUGUCAGGGUUGCUCUGAAGUUUGUGUAGUCUUGUUCUUGAAGGAAAGUCUCCUUCUUCCCCUUGAUGUAGAAACUGAUCUUGGCAGCAUUAGCGUAGAUGACAGCUCUGGUGUUUAGGAAUGGCCUCCCUAAGAUGAUGGGUGCCCUCUCCUCAGUGCCAGUCUCUAUCACCACGAAGUUUGCUGGAGUGUACAAGGUACCAACUCGGACACAGAGGUUCUUCAAUAUUUCCUUUGGGAAACUAAGUGUCUGAUCUCCAUUGUGUUUGUGCUUGUAGAUCCCGGUUCUUCACUUGAUGGAAUCUGGGAGUUGUAAAACGCCUUCACGUUUCUCAAAAUGUGUCCUACUCAUAGAGACAAGGCAGAGAUCAAGUGCAUGGGCCCUGUUGGUGGAAAACACCAACAGAACCAAAAGUGUAUUUGUUCUUCUCUAACCUUAAGCAUUGUGAGCAAGACAAAGUUGAUGGAUCAUGAGUGUAGCAUUUAAAAUAUUUGUUAGAUCAGAUGGCUCAACCUAAUGGAAAGAUAAUCUCUCUAUAUUUAUGUUUUGUUUAUAUCUUCCAAAGAUUGAAUGUGCAAUACUUUAGCUUAUAAGAUUAGGAGUGUGGGAUCACGAAGGUAGUACUAAGAACAAAGAUUAAAGGACUAAACAUGUUGAAUUAAUUGAGUUAGUUAAUUUGGAGUUAUAAAUCAUACAUGUUUGUCUCUUUAUUUAUGUGAAUGCCAGAACCAAGGAGAAGCUUAUAAAAGUGUUGGUCAAGUACCUUAAGAUGUUACCUUACUUGAAGAGUGAUGGUACAGUAUCACCUUGUGGAAGCUUUCCUUUCUUAGCGAUUGUGCAUCGUGUUUGUGGCACCCUCCAUGGAUCAUCUCUUUAUGAUGAAUGAGCUAUGUCCUUCUUGUGCAAAUUGUUAAACUUCAUGUGUCUCCUUUAUCUCCAAUGAGUUUGUAUCUCAGGACUUCCCAGGUUGAUAUUGAAAGUUUUCCUGCAGGGGUUAGUCCGACAAAAUAUACCAAUGCCUACUCAAGCAGUUUUUAGUUCAGUAACCAAACUAGACUCCAUGUCUAAUCAGAUUAAGGAAGGCUAUUUAACCUAAGCACCAUGCUUAAUUUAAAUGCCAAUGGAAGUAUGUCGAGUACUUCCAAACCAACACUUGCUAGUAAAUAGACAAAGGUAGCAUGAUAGCAUUUAUAGAGAUCUACUCAAGUGGAGAUGAAGUAGUGUGAUUAGUACUUAACAAAUUGAGCAUCUCUCAAAGGUAGGGACAACCAACGUAGCAACAUGGCAAAGGAUGUUUUUAUGUAAAGUACUCCCCCAAGCUUGAAUUUUGCAAAAUUCAAGUUUGGAUGAAUUUAAUUCAAUGUUGUGUGAUGGUUGGUUGAACAUACCUUGUGCUUGUCAUUCAUCCGAUCUUCUUGCUCCAAUCCUAGAAAGGUUAGUGACAAGAAUACCCGAAGGAAUAUUUCUACAAUUAUCUUUAUAUGCUCAAUACACAAGGCAAUGUUGCAAAUAAUUAGAAGUUCAUGAUCUGAUAAGUGCUUGUUUAAGGACGCUAAGCUUAUCCUUGGGAAACCAUCAAGUUAUGUUGGUGAAGUGGUUUCCCCUCCAACACCAACCUAUAUCAAGAUCAACUCAACGAGAUCUGCAAUAUUUAUUAUAGACAUAUGCAUCGACAACCGCUCUUUUAAAGUUGUUAUAAAUAGAAAAGAAGAGAGGGUUGGAGAUCUCAAAUGUGAUAAGGAUGGAGAGACCAAUUGAUUGGGGAGAUGUUUUAUAUGAGCAAGGACUUGGUAAGGUAUUUAUGAAAUAACUUCCAUGCUCACUGUUGUUUCUCUCAUUCUCAAACUCCAAGGAUGAUUCUUCAUGAAUGCUAAAAAUUCCUCUAGGAUUGUCUCUCAAGUUUGUUUUAUCUAUCCAUUCAAUGGUGAUAGCACAUGGAUUUUUAAUGCCCUCUAGCCAUUGAUGUUGCUCUUCUUGAUCCACCUUCUUAUGCAUGGGAUGUCUAGAUAGAUUUAUAGGAUUAUCGGGAGGUUCAAGAGAAAUAGCAUAGUAGAAUUUAUUAAGCUCAAGGAAGGGGUGGAUAGCCGAAUCAUGGGAUUGAAAUGUUUGGAAAUUGGCUAUUGAAACUUCCUUUCCUCGUCUGGGAGAUGACUCCUUCUCUAUCUCUAAGAUUUUUCUAUGAAGACUAGUACAAGAAGGAUGUCCACAAAUGAAGACAUACCUUCCUUUACUAAUAGAUAAAGAAAGAAAGACUCUACCAAAGGUUAUAUGAUUAAGACCAAUGUGAAAAUAUCUAGGAAAAACAUGGUCUUGUAGGGUUAGGUCUAAACCAGAGUUUAUAGAAAGAUUAACAGAUCCCCUAGGUGUAGCUAAAAGUGCAUUAUCUUCUUGAUUAAAAGAUAGGACCUCGGCUAUAGAAAAGGGUUGGUUUUGACCUAUUGCAAUCAACUCCGGACACAGAUCAUAAUUAGGGGCAGAACGUGUUGACUCCCAUAGUCUAUGGCUGGUCUCCGAAGGUGCAAAGAAUUCAAUAAUAGGUAUGGAAUUUAAGUUAUCCAUAAAGAUAAAAAUAAAAAGAUAAAAGAAUAAAAGUAUAAAAGUAUAAUAUAAGAUAAUAGCAAGACUCAAAGUUAUCUCAGCAAACCGUCUUUCUCCCCGGCAACGGCGCCAGAAAUGCUCGUUGAUAUUUGGUAACGCAAUUAGAAAAUGAUCCGCAAGCGCACGGAUAUCGGUGAGCAUUUCACCCGGGAGGUUAUCCAGAGUUAUCGUAUUUAUAUUUUUACCACUGGGAGAAAGGGUGCAUCUGACUAACCAAAUCUAUUGCUACUAUCCCUUUAGGCUACAAAGAAUGUCUCUCGAUGUGAGUGAUGUAUAGAGAAGACUGCAACCGUAGUCUCGUUCUAACCUUGGUAAGGAUGAUCUACUGUUCUAUUGGGGAGGCUCACGGAAUCUAGACAACACAAAGGAUGUUCGACCCGCACCUAUAAACCUACCCGUCCUGCUAACGAGAUGUGAUCUACAAAGGUAACUCGGAAAUGUCACGUUCCUUGCUACUACCACGGUCCAGCUAGUCAGGGGAUAUCUAUGAGUACCCUAGCCUAAACACCACGUUUACGCUAACAAGUGAUUACUCUAAUACUCAACCGGAAGAGGAUUAAAGUAAACUCAUAAACCAAAGAACAAUAAAACAAGAACUUACUAGUAUUAGAAGUCGAAUUACUGAAGAAUCUUAGAAGCAAGCCUCGGGUUAGGAGACUUGAUCCCGUAGGUACAACUCGGAGUAGACACCGACAGGCCGGCCUUCCUCCGAUCCACACCUCCACUCUAUCUCUCUCAAUCUAGUAGAAACUAGAAGAUCUAUUUCUACCUUACAUUGGUUGCUAAGCCUAAAAAGAAAUAUUAUUUACAGAAGAGGUUUUCCUUCGAGGGCACCCCUCAAUCUCUAUGAUAAUUUCUUGUCUUCUCCAGGGGCCAGGGGGGCCUUGCUUAUAUAGUCCUCCCCUUCUAUGCGUUUUUGGGUCAAUAGGCGAGGUGGUACUAUGUUAUUCUGGAUCCAAUAGGUCGGUGGAACGUCGUGUGCGAAGAGAGUCCUGUUUGGGCCCGACAGGUGGGCGGGCGCCCAGGUCCUCAGGGCGGGCGCCCUGAGCCUGGCCCCGUUUCGCCUCCGCUUCGGUCUCGUGGCUUCUGGAGUCUUCUAGAUGGUAGAAAAUUGCGCGGUGGGUUGAUAUCUCUAUGUAAUCCCGACAUGUGGGCCUUUCUUCCUUAUUUCCUGAUAACCCCCUGCAGAAAUAGACAAACACCAAAACUCGUGGAAUUCUGUCAGAUAAAACCCUAAGUCUAGAUGUUGAUUUCAUUUGGAUCCUUUUCUUUGUUUAUUUGAUAAUUAAAUUUUAUACUUAAGGACCGUCAACAAUAACCAAGAGUUUGUACUCCAACCAAGCCUCAUCAACCUAGUCCGAGCAACUACAUUCAGUGGAAAGGCACAAGAAGAUGCUACUGCUCACCUCCACAAUUUUCUAGAGAUUUGAAGCAUCAUUGUCAUCAAGAACAUUGCCCAAGACAUCAUACUUCUUCGGUUAUUCCCACUUUCUUUGGAGGGAAAAGCGAAGUAAUGGUUCUAUGAUCUUAAAGAAGACAUCAAUACAUGGGACAAGUGUUCAGAAGCCUUUCUAUCUAAGUUUUUCCUUGUAGGCAAAACCAAUGUCUUAAGAGGAAAAAUCUACAGUUUUUAGCUAGAGAAAGAAGAAACCAUUAUAGAGGCAUGGGGACGUUUCGAGAAAUAAACCCUAGAAUGCCCACACCAUGGAAUGCAGGAUUUGUUGCUCAUACAAAGAUUCUAUCAUGGACUUAUUCAGAAAUCUCAUGAGCAAAUAGACACAGCUACUGGAGGAUCAUUUAUGGCACUCACACUUGGAAAAGCCAAAAUUAUUUUAGAAAAGAUAGCCAAGAACCAGAGCUGGAAGCCAGACAAUCAAUGCUGUUAGAAGAUUGAAGAAGUUCUAGAAGAAGUUUGUGCAUUGCCAACAAAGAUGUAUGUACUAUUUGUAGAUAUUAGAUAUACACACAAAGAAAUAAUUCGUAAGCACACGGACAUCGGUGAGCACUUCACUCAAGAGAUAUUCUAGAGAAGAUAGUGAGAUAUGGGCAAUAUAUAGAGGAUUCCUUCGUCAGUGUUCUUCUAACCUUUGGUAAGGUGCGUAGAUAUUGUUCUAAGGGGCACCUAAGGAAAAGAGACACCACAGAGGAUGCUUAACCUCGACACGUUAUUUCCUACCUUACCUCCUAAUGGGAUGUGGAUUACGGAGACACAAGGAGACUAUCACUUUCCCCCAAAUGCUACCACAAAUCUAGCCACAUAGGGAGUAUCUACGAGUAUUCCUAGCCCAAGCACCACGCUUAUGCUAUGAAUAAUUACACUAUUCCCAUGCGCAAGCGACUAACGUAAACAUGUAAACCAAAGAACAAUAAGAACAAUAAACUUACUAGUAUUAGAAGUUGUGGCAGAACCCCCUAAGGUUUUGGGCCCACCGGCACCUGUCAUUGUCCUAAGGACCUCUGACGGCGAUGCCGCGGAUCCUCCCACUUUAGAAGUCCGAUGAGCAUCGCUGGAUGCUCAUACCACUGCUACCUAUGGCGUGCCAAGCCGGCUCGUCCUGACCACUGGUGAUGGUCAAUUAACGAGAACUUCUUCUUCUCGCCCUUACAGGAUAGCAAGUGGCCACCUUAACACCAGGAUCAUUCGUUGCGAAGACCUUGCAGUACCACAAACGGCAUACGACCAAAAUAAUAUUUCAGAGUAAAACAGCGGAAGUAUUACAUAACUUAUUUUACAAAAGGAGUUCUUCCAAAUAGCAGAGUGUUAUUACAAACCAGGUCCAGCGGAGCAACUUAGACUUUAAUACAUCGGUUACAAAUUUACAGACCCUGCCCAUGGGUCACGCUCACUCUUCUUCGUCGUCAUCCUCGACGACGGUCACACAACAGGGUCCGAAACAAGUCGGCUCCUGAGCUUCACCUGCAACAGGGGUUAUAAAACCCUGAGUAUGGGAGUACUCAACAAGACUUAUCCGGCAGAAAAAGAGGAGAACUUAGGAAUGCAGGCUUAGGGUAGGCAAGGAGUGGCUGAGCAAGGAGCCAACGUGUUUUGCUAAAAGCUUACUAAUAGUGCAUCCUUACUUUCAAGUUUUACCUGCGAAUUCCUCUCCCGUCGAGGCCGAGGAGUUCGAGGACAGUCUAACUAGUUGUCUCCCCACAGACGAGUCUGUGAGUUCCUAGUCCUAAAAUACAGUAUUAUUUAUUCGAUGGCCAUAGCUUCAUGUCGCUAUGAGUCCGGGAAUUGGGAUCCGAACCUCAUGAGACAUUUCUCCCUUUCUCAUUUUACCACUUAGUUGCAUAAUUAACUACGAUGAGGGGCAGUGGAUUGAGUCUCCCAAUCGGGGAGCAACGACGAUUCGAACCGCUUAGCAUUCCAGCUGGAGUUCCUAACCACCCGACAUAUGUAGAACCAAAACUUGCAUAUGUCAACCCAAAUCCAGCUCUCCCCAAAUUUGACCAGGUUCGCGGCACCCGAGAGCACAGUACUCCACCAUCCUACAGCCGAUCUAGAUGUUUUCCGGUCAUCUCAGAUCCGUAAGGUGGGUACACACUACUCUCGCCAUCUUUCCACUCCCAUUGCGCGAGUAGCUGUUCGCGUCGAGGGAUCACAAGACCGGGCUUACCGAGGGCAAGUGGCUAGUACUAUAAAUUCUCAACCCAGCGGGCCAUCAACGGACCGGUCCUUAACCGACACAGUUGGAGACACUACUUUAAGACUCCAUUCUUAAAGCAAGUCCACCGACCGGUCUCAGAUUAAAACAUCGUUAAUCAUAAAUGUAUUCCACAACAACUCUUCAAACUUUCUUAUUUGAAACCCUAUCUAGUAGCAGGGCUAAGCAUCACUACGCAGUUUUAAAAUGAACAGGUGUCAAGGACAGGAUAACAGAUAUCAAGGUAGUAAAUGCAGCAAGUAGGUUAACACAAUUCUCAACUAACUAAUGCAGCAUUUUCAAUUCAUAAGUGAUAAAAGAUUUAAAACAUUCAAGGAGGGGUUAAUGCAUCCGGGGCUUGCCUUGGUUGCAGGGCAGAGAGGGACCCUCGGAGACUUCCCAAGUCUCGGAUCCGACUUCCUCGAACGGAGCACCGACCUCGGGGUUUGGUUCAACGGGCGCUCCUUCGGUCACGUGCACUAUACGCAAAAUGAUGAAUGCUCAUGAUAUGCGUAUGACAAUUAUGCAAGAAGGACCAAGUCGAAUACAACUUGCCUUCUCGGUGCAACACAGAAUAAACAAGAAUUAAAGUUGUUUACCAUUUUAGUGUUUUUACCCAAGAGGUUGCAUCUGUAAAUUAAGACUUUUCUUAAUUUAUAAUUACCCUAAACUAACUAAUUAUUGUCUCUAUUUACCUUGAUUAAUCCUUAAUUAACUACUAAUGACAGUAAUUAAGCAUUAAGGCCAAACUAUAAUUAAAUGCCAAAGGUCAUUAGGAUUAAUGACCUCAGGUCAUCACACAAUCCCAAAGUCACUCAAACCCUAAUCAUGAGGAUUUAACUAAUCAUUGUUUAAUUAUUUUGGAAUUAUUAUUUACUUACUAAAUAAGGGUUUAAUAAUAUUUUAUUCAAACAUUCCAAAUGCCACUAAAUUUUGUGUGAAGCCUGGAAACAAUAUUCAGAGGCUCCCCACAAAUUUUGGUGAUUUUUGGACACACAAAUAAAUUAUUAAAAAUUCUAGAAGUUUUAUUUACCAAUUAAAGGAGUAAAUUUUUAUGAACAGACAAACCACCAAAGAAAUAAAUUCUAAUAUUUUUCCUAUGCUCUAAAUAUUCUCUAGAAUUUACACAAAAAGUUUCACUAUUUUUGGACCACUACACAAUUUAUUACACAACUUCAAACAUCAAGCAAAAAUCGCAUAAAAAGAAAAAGAAAAAGAUUUUUGCGCAGCGGGCGGCCUGGAACUUGGCCCGCAGGCCGGCCCACGCGCACACGGCCCGCAUACGCGCUGCGCGCGCUGCCCCUCCCCUCACGUGGACACGGCCCCGCUCGUCAGGCUCUCCUCUCCCCUUUCUCUGCGGAACGCUGACAGGCGGGUCCCGCCUGUCAGUUCCGUCUCCCUCAUGCACGGGGCAUUGCUGCGCUCCCGGUCGCCGCUGGCGAGGUCCAAGCCCACACCAGGGUGCGCAUCAGUUGCGCCUUGACCUUGCGACCCCAUAGAUACGGCUCGAGGACGCUCUAUCGUUCUCUUCCUACCCCGGCCGCGCGAAAGGCGGGCGGCUGCCCUGGCCGGCCGUGGACCGACCCUUGGGGCUCGGUAGAGCAUAAACUAACAGGUCCGGGAGGUUCAGGAAGAAGUGGGGAUCAUGGUGCUCACACCACCACGGCGGGAGAAGCAGCAGAGAAGCUUGGCGACGGUGGCCGUGCGGUGGGGCGGGUGCUCCGGCUCCGGCGAGGUCGUCCCGGUGGUCCUGCUCACGUCCAAGGAGAAAAAGCGAGCGCAUGAGCAUCGGGGAAACGAGAAGAGUUCGAAGCGACCACUUGCAAGGCGUGGUACCGACUGGAGCAACGUGUCCACGUGAAGAGUUCCUCGGCGGCGGUCCUGGCCGGAGUUGGGGACGACGGCUCGGCUGGUGGCGCUAGGGGGUCAAAGCGUGCGGCGAAGGGUCCAAGAGGUAGCUAGGUCGCGGGCAAAGUGGGUGCUGCACUCCGGGAAGAUGAAGAGGACGUGCUUGUGGCGAAUUUGAGAGGCGCAGGGAGCUCGUCGGCGAUAAGGUUCAAGGAAAAGAAAAGAAAAGUCCCGGCCACCCGAGGCUUUAUCCACGCGACGGCGCCUGCGAUGCGGAUGAGGACGUCCGCACGAAGCACAGCAGCAAGCAGCUGCGUGGCCAGCUGCGUGGCGGCGUGCGCGGAGGCGGCUCUGCGCCGGCGGCAGAGCACCCCCCCUGCCGAACACUGUAGCGACCCUGAUCCAAACAGUUUGUAGUUUUGUAAAAUUCGCCCAAAAUUUGAACUGAGCACAAAAUUCAACCAAAACAAAAGUUGUGCACAAUUUUAUAAGCUGUAAAAUAUAUUUAAGUGUCCCAGGCUGAUUCUGAAUGGAAACCAGUGAUUUAACCAAAACAGUUUGCAAAAUCAAAUCCAAUUCAAAGAAAUUCAAAAUUUUGAAUUGGGGACAAAUCAGGAUUUCUAAAAUUACUUUUGAUUUUUCAUAACAACUUGAAAAACUCCCAACAUGAAAGUUGCUCAACUUUUUGUGCUCUACAACUUUCAUGUUGACCACUUUUCAAAAUUCCAAAUGGAUUUUGAAUUGGGGGUUUAAGUUAGAAAAGGGGACACUUUCUGGAAAUCUGUAUUUUCAAAAUUACUUUGAAUUUUGUAUUGAAUCUUCAAAAACUCAAAACACCAAAGUUGUACAUCUUGACAAGAUCUACAACUUUGCUUUUGAACCCAACCUCAAAUUUUGCUUAGUUCUCAAGUUGUGCAAAAGGGGGCAAAUCUAGGGUUCCAAAAAUCAGGGUUUCCCCCCCUUAGCCUUUCGAAAAACUUCCACCCUAGGGCUUUAGCAACCACACAACCAUCAACACACCACAUAAGCACACUCUACUUCCCUAAACACAAGCAAUCAAAAUAAACUUGUUUUAAGUUAAUGCAUAAUAAUGUGCUUAACAAAUAUGCUUUGCAAUGCUUAUGAUGACAUGAUCCGUUUUUAGUGUUCGUAACAUCAAGGAUGUUACAGCCCUCCCUCCUUAAAGAAAUCUCGUCCCCGAGAUUUAAAACCUUAGGGUAAGUAAUGGAAAAGGAAAUUUGUCAACACUCUUUCAUCUUCAACUUUCCCAUAAAGCAAGAGGUUGGGGAGGAUUACUCAAUUAUAGACAUAUAUAUGUACAUUAAGUACAUGGCUCUGGCGACUCUUUUCCUUCACUAGAGUACACUCCCUAUUUAUCACAUGUUGCCCUGAAGAGAAGCGUUGAAUUCAGGAAAAUUUUUCAGUAGAUAGUCCUCAGAUUCCCAGGUGGCUUCCUCUUCAGAGUGCUGGCUCCACUGUAUCUUGUACCACUUGGUAGUUGUUCUUCGAGUAAUUCUAUUUCUUUGAUCCAGUAUUCGGACAGGAUACUCCGAAUAAGUUAGAUCUGGUUCAAGUUCUACAUCUUCAAUAUCUUGAACUUGGUCUGGUACCCGAAGACAUUUUUUCAGUUGAGACACAUGGAACACAUUAUGUAUCCCGGAUAAUCGUUCGGGCAAUUUAAGGCGGUAAGCUACCUGUCCACAUCGGUCAAUGAUUGGAAAUGGACCAAUGUAACGGGGCGCUAACUUGCCUUUAAUACCAAAACGAUUUACUCCUUUCAUUGGGGAUACUUUCAAAUACACAUGAUCACCUUUGGCGAACUUUAAUGGUCGGCGUCUUUUAUCAGCGUAACUUUUCUGUCGGGACUGAGCAACUUUCAAGUUAUUUUGGAUUUGUUUCACUUUGUUCUCAGUCUCUUUCACUAAGUCAACCCCGAAGAACCAUCUUUCCCCAGGUUUCGACCAGUGUAACGGAGUUCGACAUCGACGACCAUACAGUGCCUCAAAGGGAGCCAUCUUGAUACUCUCUUGGUAGCUAUUGUUGUAAGAAAAUUCUGCUAGAGGCAAACAGUCAUCCCACUUAUCUGGAAAAUUCAGGGCACAAGAUCUCAAUAGAUCCUCUAGAGUUUGAUUUACCCUUUCAGUUUGCCCACCUAUUUGAGGGUGGUAGGCUGUGCUAUAUAAAAGUUUGGUACCCAAGGAUUCGUGUAAACAUUUCCAGAAUUGGGAGACAAAUUGUGUGACUCUAUCUGACACUAUUGUCUUUGGCACCCCAUGCAGACUUAGGAUACGAUCAAAAUAAAUCUGAGCAUAGGUGGAAGUAUGAUACGAUUUCUUUACAGGUAAAAAGUGUGCUGUUUUGGUGAGACGAUCUACGAUGACCCAAAUUGAAUCAAAGCCUUUGGCUGUCCUGGGCAACCCCACUAUGAAAUCCAUACUUAUGUCAUCCCAUUUCCAGGCUGGAAUAGGCAAAGGUUGCAACUCCCCAGCAGAUUUGAGAUGAAUAGCUUUGACUUUUCGACAGGUGUCACAUUGGGCCACAUAACGAGCUAUUUCUAUCUUCAUUUUUGUCCACCAAAACCUCUGUUUUAGGUCCUGAUACAUCUUAUUGCUUCCCGGAUGAAUAGAAUACCUCGUGGUAUGAGCUUCAUCCAGGAUGUGUUGACGUAGGUCAGGUACCUUUGGAACCACUAACCGGUUCUUGAACCAGAUUACUCCUGUAUCAUCCACCUUAAAGUCUGUGGGUGCUCUAUUAGAAAUCUUCUCUUUAAGAUGUUUCAUGCCUUUGUCUUCUUUUUGUGCCUCUAUGAUUUGAGCUUCGAGAUUGAAAUGAAUCUUUAGAUUGGCAAGGCUUCCCUGGGAAAUCAUUUCUAUCCCCAAGUUCUCUAGCUCUUGGCACAAAGUUAUAUCCCUCGGCGUCACUGUUAAGCAAUUACAGUGAGCCUUACGACUGAGGGCAUCAGCUACUACAUUUGCCUUACCAGGGUGAUAAUGCACCUCAAGGUCGUAAUCUUUAAUUAAUUCUAGCCACCUUCGCUGGCGCAUAUUAAGCUCAUCUUGAGUAAAGAUAUACUUUAAGCUUUUGUGAUCGGUGUAUAGAUGACAUGUGUUCCCCAACAGAUAAUGACGCCAGAUCUUUAAUGCAUGUACCACGGCGGCUAGUUCUAGAUCAUGGGUCGGGUAAUUCUCUUCAUGUGGUUUGAGCUGUCUGGAAGCAUAGGCAAUUACACGAUCCUCCUGCAUUAGCACGCAGCCUAUCCCUAUCCCUGAUGCGUCACAAUACACAUCAAAAGGUUUUUCAAUGUCUGGCUGGGCUAAGACAGGUGCAGUUGUCAGUAAUCUUUUCAGAGUCUGAAAGGCUUGCUCACAUGGAGGUGACCAAACAAAUUUUGUUUGAUUUUUGAGCAAGGUCGUGAUUGGUUUGGCGACUCUUGAAAAGUCCGGAAUAAAACGACGAUAAUAUCCCGCCAUACCGAGAAAACUACGGACCUCAUGUACCGUAGUCGGGGGUUUCCAAUUCAACACAUCUUCUACUUUGCCUGGGUCUACAGCGACUCCCUCAGCUGACAACACGUGACCCAGGAAAUGGACUUUGUCCAGCCAGAACUCACAUUUGCUGAACUUGGCAUAUAGCUGAUGCUCCCUGAGACGGGUCAGCACGAUUCUCAAAUGUUCAGCAUGUUCUUUCUUAGUCUUGGAGUAGAUCAAGAUGUCAUCAAUAAAGACAACGACAAAUUUGUCUAGUUCUGGCAUGAAGACAGAGUUCAUCAGGUACAUGAAAUGGGCCGGUGCAUUGGUCAACCCAAAGGACAUCACCAAGUAUUCAUACAGUCCGUAACGGGUUGUAAAAGCUGUCUUGGGCACAUCUUCCGGCCUAAUUUUAAUUUGGUGGUACCCUGAUCUCAAAUCAAUUUUUGAGAAUACUUUGGCCCCAGCUAGCUGGUCAAACAGUAAGUCAAUACGGGGCAAUGGGUACUUGUUCUUAAUCGUCACCUCAUUUAGAGGACGGUAAUCGACACACAGCCUUAAUGUUUGAUCUUUCUUUUUCACAAACAAGGCUGGGCAACCCCAGGGAGAAGAACUGGGCUGAAUAAAACCUUUCUGCAACAGCUCUUGUAAUUGGGUUUUUAAUUCAGCCAGCUCUUUCGGUGCCAUUCUGUAGGCCCUUCGAGAUAUUGGGGCCGUCCCUGGUUUCAAUUCUAUACUGAAUUGUACAUCCCGGUCCGGAGGCAGACCUGGUAGGUCUUCAGGAAAUACAUCCGGAAAAUCCCGAACUACCGGGAUUUCUUUAACUACCGACACAUUAGUGGCAUGAACUUGCCCAAUUGUCCGCUUGGGAGUGGCUAACUGGAUUAGGAGAUAAGAUUUCUCACUGGGCAAUGGGAUUUUAAUGGUUCGAUGCAAAGUAUCUAGCACAACCCCUCGUUGUGCCAUCCUGUUCAUGCCUAGUAUGACAUCAAUCUCCUGGUCUUUAAGAACAAUCAUACUAGUGGGAAAAUUAUGCCCACCAAAUUCGAUGGGUAUUUGGUGAACCAUUUCUUUAGAACUCAGUCGUCCUCCUGGCGACUGUAUAUAAAAAUGAUCUUGUGUUUCCCCAAUGGGUAUGCCAUGCUUUAACACAAAGGUGCGAUUGAUGAACGUAUGAGAUGCACCAGAAUCGAAAAGCAUUAAAGCAGGAUGUUUCGCGACAGGAAACGUACCCAUCAUUACUGGUUCACCCUCCGGGAUCGUCUCCACCUCCGUAUGGAAGACUUGUCCCACUUUCUUCACUGGUUUUCCCCUUUGCACAGGUUGUCCUUUCUGAAUCCCAGUUCUGAAUUGACCCGGCUGGGAUUGGCCCAUAGGUGGCCUUUGGAAGGUGGGGUUGGUUUGGUGGGGGAAAGGGCACUCUUUAGAGAAAUGCCCAGGCUUACCACAAUUGAAACAAGGAUAAUUGUGGCUGGGCGGAGCAGUGGGGCGAACACCUGGGGCGUUCGGCUGGCGUGGUGCAAGAGCGAUGGCAGUAGGUCGAGGGUAUACCUGCUGCCCUGGUCUAUACUGUGGAGGGGAGAAAGGACCACGAUAAGGUGACGGUGCUUGGAAACGUCCGUGGCCCUGUGGAUGAUAAAUGAUUCUCUGGCGCUUUUGGCCGCGACCAGAGAAGGAUGAAGAAGCAGCCUUCUUCUUGGCUUCUUUAUGCUUUCUAUUCUUUUCCUCUGAGGUGAUGGCAAUAUUUACCGCCUCAUAGAAGGUAGCAUUUUGGCAAGUGGUCAUCAUGGUCUGAAGUUUAGUAUUUAGACCACGCAUGAAGCAGGCUUUCUUCUUUCUGUCAGUGUUUACAUGGUCUGUGGCAUAUUGAGAGAGAUGAUUAAACUUUGCCACAUAUUCCAUGACACUUUUGUCGCCCUGCUGCAAGGAGAGAAACUCUUCGGCCUUCAUGGCCAUGAGCCCUUCAGGAAUAUAAUGGGCGCGGAACGCGUCCUUAAACUCGGUCCAGGUGACUUGGUGUCCGGGAGCUUGGAUAGCUAAGAAGUUCUCCCACCAGGCACCUGCAGCUCCCCGAAGCUGCUGAGCUGCGAACAGGGGCUUUUGAGUUUCUGAACACUGAAUCAAACUAAACUUGUGCUCCAUGGUUCGGAGCCAGUCAUCCGCUUCUAAAGGCUCAUCGGCCUUAGUGAACACCGGGGGCCUGGUCUCGGUAAAGUCCACAUACCGAGUCUCUCCGUCCCCGUUGCGUGGUGCUCUGAAGUUUGGGGCGGGGUGUGGUUGACGCUGUGCUAGCUCGCGCAGCAAGCGAGCGUUGUCAGUAGUAGCAUUCAACAAAACCACAAUGGCCUCGGCCAAAGAAGGUGGAGCAGGUGGAGGGUUGGGGAUAUCAUCCCCUCCCUGAGAUGUCCCAGCUCCAUCAGAUCCGCAUGUACGCAUCGGCAUCUGCUACAAGAAUCAUAGGUACUUGUCACCACAUGAACUUCAUAACAUAGAACAUAUCUUACAUUCUUCCAUUCAUUAAACAUUAGUUCAACACACCAGGAACAAACAAGUACAACUUCUCAAACCGAAAGAAAACUUAUAUUACAAACCCGACCCCCACUACGGCAAGCUAGGACUCCUACAAUGACGUUGCCCGCGGUUUCACCGAACUAGUCGGUGUGGCCAGAGCUGUAGCCCGGGUCGUCAUUGCCAUCCUCCUGAUUACCCCCUGGGUUGUUGUCAUCGGGGUCGGACUCCCCUUCAUCACUGAGGCCUGGAUCGGGUUCCCCAUCGUCUGCCAACUCGCCAUCCGUAUCCAUCUCCCCUUCGCCUGGAGGUGGGUGGAGCUGAUGAUACAGAUCAAAUGCAAUAUCACGAUAUUGCAUCACCAAGUCAUUGACAGUAUCUAAGUGAUGUGCGAGCUCCAGCUUCUCCAACUGGAGCUGGUCCUCUCGCUGCCACGCGGCAUCCCGCUGCGCGGUGACCGUGGCCGCCAUCUUCACGUACAAAUCUUUAAGAUACCUGGCCUUGCCCAGUUUCGCAUUUAUCCUAGUCAGCUCAUGCCUGUGUGUGCUCCUAGCUUCUUCCUCUCGGGCAAUGGCGGCAUUCCUCUCCUCCACCAUACGGGACAACAUGGCUUCACAGUUCUCUGUAGCUUGUUUUUCUUUGGCUAGUUGAGCUUUGAGUUUGCCGAUCUCCAUAACAUUGUACAUUCUUUCUCUCAUCACCUCAGUCAACUCGGCGGACAACCUGUCCACCUCCGGCUGAGGCGGUGAACGGCUACUGCUGGCUUGAUCACUACGUGGAGCCAACUGAUGUCGGGGAACUCCUUUUGGACCUGCCCUCUUACGCGGGGUCUGCUUCUGACGAGCCAUCCUGUAGAGGGUAAGUUUAGAUUAGUAAGAGAGACCUUAAAGGUUAGCAAGAAUAGGUUUGGUUCUAUUCACCCAACCCGAACAAGGAGGAAGGAAACUUAACCAGUUAAUACAUCAUGAUGCGUGCACGAACUUACGAUCCCUACCACCGAUUCGCAACGAUAUUACUUUAAAUUUUUACAACAUAGGGCAAUACUCUAGGUUGCUCCUCCAUACCACUUCAAAAAUUCUAAGAAAGAUUAUAGACAGGGGUAAGUUAGGACUAAGCACUUGGACUCAAAGUAGAUCAGUUUAUAGUAUUGGAUCCAAAGGAAUUUUGAAGUUUUUCAAGAGGUACAACAGUCAUCUUAGCAACGAAUGCUCUGAUACCAGCUGUGGCAGAACCCCCUAAGUGUUUGGGCCCACCGGCACCUGUCAUUGUCCUAAGGACCUCUGACGGCGAUGCCGAGGAUCCUCCCACUUUAGAAGUCCGAUGAGCAUCGCUGGAUGCUCAUUCCACUGCUACCUAUGGCGUGCCAAGCCGGCUCGUCCUGACCACUGGUGAUGGUCAAUUAACGAGAACUUCUUCUUCUCGCCCUUACAGGAUAGCAAGUGGCCACCUUAACACCAGGAUCAUUCGUUGCGAAGACCUUGCAGUACCACAAACGGCAUACGACCAAAAUAAUAUUUCAGAGUAAAACAGCGGAAGUAUUACAUAACUUAUUUUACAAAAGGAGUUCUUCCAAAUAGCAGAGUGUUAUUACAAACCAGGUCCAGCGGAGCAACUUAGACUUUAAUACAUCGGUUACAAAUUUACAGACCCUGCCCAUGGGUCACGCUCACUCUUCUUCGUCGUCAACCUCGACGACGGUCACACAACAGGGUCCGAAACAAGUCGGCUCCUGAGCUUCACCUGCAACAGGGGUUAUAAAACCCUGAGUACGGGAGUACUCAACAAGACUUAUCCGGCAGAAAAAGAGGAGAACUUAGGAAUGCAGGCUUAGGGUAGGCAAGGAGUGGCUGAGCAAGGAGCCAACGUGUUUUGCUAAAAGCUUACUAAUAGUGCAUCCUUACUUUCAAGUUUUACCUGCGAAUUCCUCUCCCGUCGAGGCCGAGGAGUUCGAGGACAGUCUAACUAGUUGUCUCCCCACAGACGAGUCUGUGAGUUCCUAGUCCUAAAAUACAGUAUUAUUUAUUCGAUGGCCAUAGCUUCAUGUCGCUAUGAGUCCGGGAAUUGGGAUCCGAACCUCAUGAGACAUUUCUCCCUUUCUCAUUUUACCACUUAGUUGCAUAAUUAACUACGAUGAGGGGCAGUGGAUUGAGUCUCCCAAUCGGGGAGCAACGACGAUUCGAACCGCUUAGCAAUCCAGCUGGAGUUCCUAACCACCCGACAUAUGUAGAACCAAAACUUGCAUAUGUCAACCCAAAUCCAGCUCUCCCCAAAUUUGACCAGGUUCGCGGCACCCGAGAGCACAGUACUCCACCAUCCUACAGCCGAUCUAGAUGUUUUCCGGUCAUCUCAGAUCCGUAAGGUGGGUACACACUACUCUCGCCAUCUUUCCACUCCCAGUGCGCGAGUAGCUGUUCGCGUCGAGGGAUCACAAGACCGGGCUUACCGAGGGCAAGUGGCUAGUACUAUAAAUUCUCCACCCAGCGGGCCAUCAACGGACCGGUCCUUAACCGACACAGUUGGAGACACUACUUUAAGACUCCAUUCUUAAAGCAAGUCCACCGACCGGUCUCAGAUUAAAACAUCAUUAAUCAUAAAUGUAUUCCACAACAACUCUUCAAACUUUCUUAUUUGAAACCCUAUCUAGUAGCAGGGCUAAGCAUCACUACGCAGUUUUCAACUAACUAAUGCAGCAAGUAGGUUAACCCAAUUCUCAACUAACUAAUGCAGCAUUUUCAAUUCAUAAGUGAUAAAAGAUUUAAAACAUUCAAGGAGGGGUUAAUGCAUCCGGGGCUUGCCUUGGUUGCAGGGCAGAGAGGGACCCUCGGAGACUUCCCAAGUCUCGGAUCCGACUUCCUCGAACGGAGCACCGACCUCGGGGUUCGGUUCAACGGGCGCUCCUUCGGUCACGUGCACUAUACGCAAAAUGAUGAAUGCUCAUGAUAUGCGUAUGACAAUUAUGCAAGAAGGACCAAGUCGAAUACAACUUGCCUUCUCGGUGCAACACAGAAUAAACAAGAAUUAAAGUUGUUUACCAUUUUAGUGUUUUUACCCAAGAGGUUGCAUCUGUAAAUUAAGACUUUUCUUAAUUUAUAAUUACCCUAAACUAACUAAUUAUUGUCUCUAUUUACCUUGAUUAAUCCUUAAUUAACUACUAAUGACAGUAAUUAAGCAUUAAGGCCAAACUAUAAUUAAAUGCCAAAGGUCAUUAGGAUUAAUGACCUCAGGUCAUCACACAAUCCGAAAGUCACUCAAACCCUAAUCAUGAGGAUUUAACUAAUCAUUGUUUAAUUAUUUUGGAAUUAUUAUUUACUUACUAAAUAAGGGUUUAAUAAUAUUUUAUUCAAACAUUAUCCAAAUGCCACUAAAUUUUGUGUGAAGCCUGGAAACAAUAUUCAGAGGCUCCCCACAAAUUUUGGUGAUUUUUGGACACACAAAUAAAUUAUUAAAAAAUCUAGAAGUUUUAUUUACCAAUUAAAGGAGUAAAUUUUUAUGAACAGACAAACCAUCAAAGAAAUAAAUUCUAAUAUUUUUCCUAUGCUCUAAAUAUUCUCUGGAAUUUACACAAAAAGUUUCACUAUUUUUGGACCACUACACAAUUUAUUACACAACUUCAAACAUCAAGCAAAAAUCGCAUAAAAAGAAAAAGAAAAAGAUUUUUGCGCAGCGGGCGGCCUGGAACUUGGCCCGCAGGCCGGCCCACGCGCACGCGGCCCGCAUACGCGCUGCGCGCGCUGCCCCUCCCCUCACGUGGACACGGCCCCGCUCGUUAGGCUCUCCUCUCCCCUUUCUCUGCGGAACGCUGACAGGCGGGUCCCGCCUGUCAGUUCCGUCUCCCUCAUGCACGGCGGCCUUGCUGCGCUCCCGGUCGCCGCUGGCGAGGUCCAAGCCCACACCAGGGUGCGCAUCAGUUGCGCCUUGACCUUGCGACCCCAUAGAUACGGCUCGAGGACGCUCUACCGUUCUCUUCCUACCCCGGCCGCGCGAAAGGCGGGCGGCUGCCCUGGCCGGCCGUGGACCGACCCUUGGGGCUCGGUAGAGCAUAAACUAACAGGUCCGGGAGGUUCAGGAAGAAGUGGGGAUCAUGGUGCUCACACCACCACGGCGGGAGAAGCAGCAGAGAUGCUUGGCGACGGUGGCCGUGCGGUCGGGCGGGUGCUCCGGCUCCGGCGAGGUCGUCCCGGUGGUCCUGCUCACGUCCAAGGAGAAAAAGCGAGCGCAUGAGCAUCGGGGAAACGAGAAGAGUUCGAAACGACCACUUGCAAGGCGUGGUAUCGACUGGAGCAACGUGUCCACGUGAAGAGUUCCUCGGCGGCGGUCCUGGCCGGAGUUCGGGACGACGGCUCGGCUGGUGGCGCUAGGGGGUCAAAGCGUGCGGCGAAGGGUCCAAGAGGUAGCUAGGUCGCGGGCGAAGUGGGUGCUGCACUCCGGGAAGAUGAAGAGGACUUGCUUGCGGCGAAUUUGAGAGGCGCAGGGAGCUCGUCGGCGAUAAGGUUCAAGGAAAAGAAAAGAAAAGUCCCGGCCACCCGAGGCUUUAUCCACGCGACGGCGCCUGCGAUGCGGAUGAGGACGUCCGCACGAAGCACAGCAGCAAGCAGCUGCGUGGCGGCGUGCGCGGAGGCGGCUCUGCGCCGGCGGCAGAGCACCCCCCCCCCUGCCGAACACUGUAGCGACCCUGAUCCAAACAGUUUGUAGUUUUGUAAAAUUCGCCCAAAAUUUGAACUGAGCACAAAAUUCAACCAAAACAAAAGUUGUGCACAAUUUUAUAAGCUGUAAAAUAUAUUUAAGUGUCCUAGGCUGAUUCUGAAUGGAAACCAGUGAUUUAUCCAAAACAGUUUGCAAAAUCAAAUCCAAUUCAAAGAAAUUCAAAUUUUUGAAUUGGGGACAAAUCAGGAUUUCUAAAAUUACUUUUGAUUUUUCAUAACAACUUGAAAAACUCCCAACAUGAAAGUUGCUCAACUUUUUGUGCUCUACAACUUUCAUGUUGACCACUUUUCAAAAUUCCAAAUGGAUUUUUAAUUGGGGGUUUAAGUUAGAAAAGGGGACACUUUCUGGAAAUCUGUAUUUUCAAAAUUACUUUGAAUUUUGUAUUGAAUCUUCAAAAACUCAAAACACCAAAGUUGUACAUCUUGACAAGAUCUACAACUUUGCUUUUGAACCCAACCUCAAAUUUUGCUUAGUUUUCAAGUUGUGCAAAAGGGGGCAAAUCUAGGGUUCCAAAAAUCAGGGUUCCCCCCCCCUUAGCCUUUCGAAAAACUUCCACCCUAGGGCUUUAGCAACCACACAAGCAUCAACACACCACAUAAGCACACUCUACUUCCCUAAACACAAGCAAUCAAAAUAAACUUGUUUUAAGUUAAUGCAUAAUAAUGUGCUUAACAAAUAUGCUUUGCAAUGCUUAUGAUGACAUGAUCCGUUUUUAGUGUUCGUAACAUCAAGGAUGUUACAGAAGUCAAAUUGUCGAAUGAUCGUAGAACCAAGCCUUAGGUUAGGAGACUUGAUCCCGUAGAUACAAGAAAGAAGACACUGACAGGACAGGCUUCCUCCACUUCUAUGUCCACCCUAUACUCUCUCAAUCUCUCUUGUUGUUAAAAACCCUAAAGAAAUAGGUCCAUUUGAGGGACCCCUCUCUGGCUAAUUCUCUCUAGAAAAUAUGAAUUAGGGUUUCAGAAUUGGCACUGAUCUAGGGGGUAGGGGGUUUGCUUAUAUAGCCCCUAGGAGGCACCAUAGCCCUCGGAUCAAACCGACCUUGAUAGACGGCCAAGAUUACUCCUCAAAGGCACUGGAGGUAGGAUCCAUGAGGUUGGUUCUGAUUGGUUGAGAGGCUUGGGUGCAAACCCCUACCACUUGGGCGGCCGCCUGGCUCCCAAGCUAGUUUGGGCUCCCAUUUGGUCUAGAGCCUCCUCGAGUCUUCUAGAUAGUUCUUGAGUUGCAGUUCAUGGUAUUCUCUCUAUAUAAAUCUGACAUAUGAACCAUCUUUGGUUGAUUUUAGCUGACACCCUACAAAAAUAGACAUUCACCAAAACUCAUGGAAUUCUGUUAGUGAUAACCUUAUAUCCACUAGGUGUUUGCAAUAGGUCCAUUUUGAUGUUCAGUUGACGGUUAAAAUUAGAAGUUAUCUACCGUCAACACUGUUGGAUUGGCUUGACAAAAGGGACAAUUAUAAAAGAGAUCGUCAAGCUAUCAAGGAUGCAUACGAUGCUCAGAAUAAAUGUGGAAAAUAUCUAGGGAUUGAAUCCUUAGAUAAUCAAGAAAAUGCAAGCAUCAUCAACAACCCUUCCACAUCAAGGAAGCAUGUAUGGAAUCAACAGGAGACCUCCACCCAUGAAGAUAGGUAUUCAUGCAGUUACAAUUCUUCUAAUUUCAAGCAAUUACCCUUGAGAGGUUUAAUCUUCGAACAUGCUAGAAUUAAUGUUAACAUUGUUAAAAGGCUUGCUUCUAAUGAUAAUAUAUUAGCGGAUAUAAAUGCUAAAUUAGAUGACUUUUCUUCUACUAUAAAAGAUCAACUUAUUCAUAAUAAACAAAUAGAAACCAAGUUGUCACAACUAGCUGCUACUUUGCCUUUUGCCACAAGAGGUGGCAGAUCUACUCAUGAUCCCCCUUAUCCGAAGGGUGUAGUGAGAAGAUAGGUAGCGCCAGUAACCCUAGUAGUAACAGAAGAGAAGGAUGAUGAAGUUGAAGAAUUAGAGCCACCAAUACCAGAAAUGACGCAAGAUUUUCAUGACUCCAAUAUUUUACCAUUCCCACGAAGAGAGCGAAAGGCUAAAACGAAUAAGCAGUUUAGUAAGUUUGUUGAUGUAAUUCAAAAAUUAUAUAGCAAUGUCCCUUUGUUAGAUGCCCUCCAAGUACCCACAUAUGCAAGAUAUAUAAGGGAUAUCCUCAACAACAAAUGACCACUACGCACCACUGAAGUAAUCAAAAUGAUGGAAGAGUGUAGUGCAGCCAUCCUCAACAUGUCACCAGAAAAGAAGAAGGAUCUAGGAUGCCCUACUAUUGAUUGUUCAAUUGGAGAUCAAUAUUUCAAUAACACAUUGUGUGACCUUAGAGCAAGCGUCAGUGUGAUGCCUAAGGCAGUCUUCGACAAGCUCCAACAUACAAAGAACACACCAACAUCAAUUGUCUAUAGCUAGCCAAUCAAUCUCUCUGCUAUCCAAUAGGAAUUGCCGAGGACAUUCUAGUCAACACUAGAGGAUUCUUCAUACCUGUCAAGUUUGUGUCCUGGUCGAGGUCUUGUUGCUGGUUAGGUCUUGUUAGAGUCCAGUUCGUGUGUAUUUCCCCACCGUUUUCAUCAAUUUCUAGCCACCGCCGUAAAUUUUUCCCACUUUCAUACCGUUUUGUCCUCUAAUUUGGAGUCCGCUCGUAAAACAGCCAUAACUUUCGCAUACGAACUUCGAUUUCAAGGUUCCAUAUAUCAAAAUCGAUCAGAAAAAUUUUUGGAUCUGUCUGUCUCCGCCUUUGGCGGGUUUGAAAAUUUUAGAAUCUCCAAAUUCGCCUCCAAAGUUUGAGUUUUCACCUCGUAUUUGGUAAAUUUGAUUAUGGAGAACUUGAUGUUGGCGAUCCGGCUUCAAAUUAGCACGAUUCGAACCCUGCAACCAUUACACCACUGCUUCGUUGGUUAUCAUCCAAGCACAACUUGAUUGACCUCACCAAGAAGGUUGUUCCUGCAAGCGAAUCGAAGAACACAAGCAAGAAAGUAUAAACACGCAAUCUGAAAUUGCAGAUAUGAAUGACGCGAAUAUUCAAAUGAGGGUUCAAGAACUCGGUUCCAAAGGACUAGUUGACACAGUGGAGGAGAUCAAGAACGGGGGCCCUAGAUCACUAUAAAAGGAUUUGUAACCACAGUUACAAUGAACGAUUCAGUUUCUCAAAGGAAAACUAAACUCUAAACAAAACCCGAGUCUAAGCAGCAGCGGCUACAUGGAAUAUAAAGGAGAAGCGUCCUAGGCUUGGAGGCAACCAGGGGGAGGCGACCACAAUAUGGGCUUAAGGCCCGAAUUCGAUACAUGACCAAGUUGGCCCAAAAUAGGUGAUGCAGCACCUUGUCGUGGACAUAAGAUUAAUCCACGAAAUUUCUAGAGCUGAGACCAGAUCCUAAAUGACGGCGUCGUUGUCCCCUUUCCAACGAGUCUAAGAUCACCCCGUUUCAAUGUCGUAUGAAGAAGUUAUGAUCAAAACACUGAUGACGUGUUUGCUGAAUCCGAGAGUGACGUGGUAGCUGAGUUAGAGAUGAAUUGCAACUUGGUAAAGACGAUGGUGUCAACGUAUCUAGCAUGGCGAUGUCCUCAUCAUCCUCUCCUUCUUGAAUUGGAGUCGUCCUCGACUCCAUCUUGGUGAUGUCCUCAUCAUCCCCUGCUUCUAUAAUUGGAGUCGUCCUCGACUCUUCCCCAUCAACAAACUCCUGCAAAAGGUUAGUGACAGCAGGCAAUGCACAAGACAUAAUAGGUUGACAAAGCAUAGUAUAACAUGGAGCAUCUGGAUUAUCACAUAACACAGCAGUAGUAGAAGUUGUAGCAAGUAAAGCACCUCUAUGUAACUUAUUUUCAUUACUUUUAUCAAUGUCUGUGGAAGGUUUAUUGUUAAUCUCUUUAGCAUGUUUAACAAUAUCCAUUGGUGACAAAGGCAGCAAAGUAAUGUUCUUGUUCUUAUGUAUAAAAGUGUAUGUAUUAGUUCUACCAUGGUGUAAAGCAUCAUUAUUAAAUUCCCAUGGACGUCCUAACAAAAUUGAACAAGCUUGCAUAGGCACAACAUCAAAAUCAGCAGUAUCAUGAUAACAACCUGUGAAGAAACUAAUGCGGGCUGAUUUAGUUACCUUAGUCUUACCACUAUUAUUGAACCAUUGAAGUUUAUAUGGAUACAAAUGUUGUCGUGUGGUUAAGCCAAGCUUCUCAACAAAAUCUGAACUCACCAAGAUGUUGCAACUCCCGCUAUCAAUGAUGGUGAGAACACGACAAACCUGCACAAUAAGAUAUAUGUGGAACAAAUUGUGGCACUGGAUCUGCUUAUCUUCUUCAUGUACCACAUGUGAACUCAACACACGUUGCACAAGAAGGCUAGGAUAGCCUACGGAGGCAGUAACAGAGUCAAUGGCGAUGGUCUCCGUGUCUUGAUCGCCCUUAGUGGGAUCUGCAGCAAUGUUAGUAGCAAGGGCUAAAUCAUCUUCAACAUCACAAGCCCUUACAUAUCCAUCCUCUGUAGCAACGAAAGCGCAACGACUGGGGCAAUCCUUCAUGACAUGUCCCAUGCCUUUACAUCGAUGGCACAUGAUUUAGCGCUGGGCGAGGAGGAACUAGUGGAAGCACCCGAAGUGGCACAUUUCUUCAACUGUGGGGGCUGCACAUUAGACAAUUUACUUACCCUAGAAGAAAAUGCAGGUGUGAGCGUCUCUGGCUCGGAACGCUGCUAAAAAUUUCUCCCAUUAUUAGAUCAAAAAGUCUGGUGUUGCUUGCAUCCCUGCACUUCACGUUCUGCCUUUAUAGCAAGAUGAUACAAUUGGAAAAAAUUACGCCAUUCUUUCUAAUCAAGAAUAUUCUAGAUAUCAUGAUUUAAACCACCAAACAAUCUAGCACUAGCAUCAGCAUCAUCUUCAUGUACACCACAACGUGCUAAACCAAUAAGAAAUUUAGGGACCCGUCGAAGAACAUUCACCAGUGAUCGAAGACAUCUGGAGAGGGAGGUGCAUUGAGAUCAGUCCAUUCUGCGAUGAAGUCGAUCAGAGCUUGAGACUUGACGGUUGUACGACUUUGAAAAUCUAAACAAAAUGGGCAUAACUCCAUGGCCCACUUUACGAUUCUGCCUUGACGUCCUUGUUGCGCAAGAUGUCUCCCAACGGAAAACUCGUAGUAACUAAAACGCGAUGACCAUCGAAGUAGUGCUUCAAUUUCCUUGAGGUGAUUAGGAUGGCGUAGAUUAAUUUUUGUAUCUGGGGAUACCUAGUCUUGGAUUCAUUUAGGACUUCGCUUAUGAAGUAUAGUGGUCUCUGGACAUUGUAGACGUGGCCUGGUUCAUCCCGCUCUACCACGAGCACCGUAGAGACGACACGAUCGGUUGCUGCUAUGUAAAGGAGCAGGUCCUCGGUGGGUUGAGGUGCGGUGAGAACGGGUGGUGAGGUGAGGAAAGUUUUGAGCUGGGUGAAUGUGAUGUUGGCCUCUUCUGACCAGGAGAAUUUUUCUGAUGCUUUUAGUAGCCUGAAGAAAGGAAGCCCUUUUUCUCCCAGACUAGAGAUAAACUGGCUGAGAGCAGCCAUGCACCCCAUGAGCUUUUGAACAUCUUUUACGUUUCUGGGUGGUCACAUAUCGAGUACUGCCUUGACUUUUGAAGGGUUUGGCCGUAUGCCGUCGCGGCUGACGAUGUUGCCAAGCAGUAUACCAGAGGGGACCCCAAAGAUGCAUUUUUUUGGAUUAAGCUUCCACUUGUACCUGUUUAGCACUUUAAAUGUGCGGUCCAGGUUGUCGAUUAGGGCGCUAGUGUCCCUAGUCUUGACGAUAACGUCAUCGACGUAAGCCUCGACAAGGUCGUCACGUAUCUCGUCGUGAAGGCACUGCUGAAUAGCGCGUUGAUAGGUGGCUCCGACGUUUUUUAGUCCGAAGGACAUCGUGGUGUAGCAAUAUGCACCGAAAGGAGUGAUGAAGGAGGUUUUAAUCUGAUCAUCUUCUUUUAACGAGAUCAAGUGGUAACCAGAGUAACAAUCGAGAAAGGAGAGUAGUUCGCAUCCGGCCGUUGAGUUGACCACCUCGUCUAUGCGGGGAAGACCAAAAGGAUCUUUAGGACAGUGUUUAUUGAGAUCGGUGUAAUCAACGCACAUUCUCCAUUCAUUAUUUAUUUUUCUUACAAGGACCAGAUUGGCUAGCCAAUCGGGAUGAUACACUUCUUUAAUAAACCCGGCUGCUGAAAGCCGUGUAAUCUCUGUCCUAAUGGCCUCCUUUUUGUCGCGAGCGAACCGUCGUAGCUUCUGCUUGAUAGGUCUUGCGGUCUUCGAGACAUUUAAGGAGUGCUCGAUCAGGCUUCAAGGGACACCGGACAUAUCCGCGGGUUUCCAUGCGAAAACGCUUAUGUUGUCCCUCAGAAACCUGACGAGCGCGUCUUCCUAUUUGGCAUCCAGAUUGGCUCCAAUGAGAGCCGUCUUUUCUAGGCUGCCGUCGACCAGUUGAACUUCCUUGUGUUCCCUAGACUUGGUGCCUUUUCUUGGCAUCUCCUGGUCGGAUUGGGUUUGAGCUGCUUGUGCUACCGUUUCUGCCAUGCGAAUUGAGAGGUCGAUUGCCUCGGUGAUCUUGAAGCUUUCCUCUUCGCAGGUGUAUGCCAUGUAGACGUUGCCUCUAACGGUUAAGACGCCCUUCUCGGUUGGCAUUUUGAGGACCAAGUAUGAAUAGUGCAGGACUGCCAUGAACUUGGUGAGCGAAGGACGGCCUAGAAUAGCGUGGUAGGUCCCGUCAAAGUCGACGACCAUGAAGUUGAUGAAUUUUGUGCGGAAGUGGUCUGGUCCGAACUAGACGGGCCGCGUUAUCUGGCCAAGGGGUACUGAGCUUUGUCCUGGCAGGAUGCCCCAGAACUGAGCGUUAUAUGGUUUCAACUGCGCCGGAGUUAGCUUGAGAGCAGGCAGGCUGUUGCGAAACAAGAUGUCGAUGGAGCUACCCCCGUCGACGAGCACACGCUCAAACCUGACGCUGUUGAUGCACGGGUCCAGGAUCAACGGGAAGCGCCCUGGCUCCGGGAUGGCGGCCCAUUGGUCCUGUCUGUUGAAGCAAAUCUCUCGGUGCGACCAGGGAGGGAAUUUAGGAUCGGCGAUCGAACCAUUGGCGCUGUCCAUGUUGAGGCAAGCCCUCUUUAAGAGUUUUCUUUCCCGCUUCGACUCGAUUGAGACAUUCCCUCCAAAUAUUGAGUGUACUACGUCGGUCGGGUUGACGUAUUGGUGCCGUGGGUCCCUGUCCUGGUCAUCGUCCUCGUCUUCUUGACUGCAUCUGUCAUGUUUUCUAGUUUUUUUGGCAGCAUCCCCCUGGGCGGCCUACUGUGUGUAGAUGCUUUUGAGGACAUGGCAUUCUUCCAUCGUAUGGUUGGACUUGGGGUGGAGUUGGCACGGUCCUUUCAGCGUCUUGUUGUAGUCUUCCUGGUAGUCCCGCUGUCCAUUGGGACGCUUGACUGUGUUUACCUCGUGAUUGUUGUCUCAAGGUCGCUUGCCUCUGAAAUCGUCACGAUUAUCACGGCGCCUGUCCCACCCUUCUCGGUGGUCGUGGUUGUUGCCGCGGUGGGGAUUCCAGAUGUCGAAACGCCCACGGGUGUCGUCUCAUUGGGGAGGUUGCUCAGUGUUGACGGUCCUUAAGUACUAAAUUUAAUCGUCAAAUAAACAUGGAAAAUGAUCAAUAUGCACCAAACAUCUAGAAUUAGGGUUUUAUCGGACAGAAUUCCACGAGCUUUGGUGUUUGUCUAUUUCUAUAGGGGGUUAUGAGAAAAUAUGGAGAGAAGGCCCACAUGUUAGGUUUACAACGAGAUAAUUACGUGCCGCGCAAUUUUCCUUAAUCUAGAAGAGUCCAGAAGCCACGGGAACGAACGGGAGGUCAAUCGGGCCCGGGGGUAGGGCGCCCGCCCUCCCCCCUUGGGCGCCCGCCCUGCUCUGGUGGCCAAUCAGAGAAGGUCUCCUGGAUCGUGCUCCACCGCCUCUAAUCUUCACGAAUAACCGUGCGAUUUAUGUCGGUUUGAUCCGACGGCCUAAAUUCACUUGAGGGGACUAUAUAAGCAAGGCCUCUCCACCCCAGGGGGAGAGGAGAAAUCAUUAUCAGAGGAAGCCAUCAAAGUUAGGGUUUUAGAACUUCUCUCCCACAGAGAAUUAGAAUUAGCUACUCCCUAAUCCUUCAAGUUCAAUGGGGUUGAUUAGAUAGAAUUAGAAAAGUAGAGCCUAGCGCUCUGGAUUCGGAUCUUCGUUAAUAAAGAUUGGUAUUAUUUCAUAUCCUUCUCUACUACUUUAUUCUAAUUGCAUUAUGUCUCUAUUUAUUAUGUUCUUAGUUUGCUCUAGUUCUAUAUUUGAUAUAGUUAUGAUUGAUAAUGAGUUUAUGUAUAAGUUUGCAAAGCGCUUAGCUCUUGACGCGCGGGAGUUAAGUGGUAGAUCACAUGUGGGCGUGGUGCUUAGAUGUUAUUUACCUGCAAAUGUAUCCUAUUGGUCGGGUCGUGUGGUAGUUCGCGAUGGUGACAGCUUCAUUGAUUCUUAUAUAGUCCACCCUCCGUUGAUAGGAUAGGCAGAAUUUGUAUUGCGGAGUAAGUCUUGCGAUGUUCUGAUUUACUUUAGCAAUGUUCCUUAUACAUGAAUGAAGAGUCUAUUAUGCUAUAUAUGAUCUUGUAGAUAACUAGAGUAGAUUGUGACUUAGUAGAUAGUAGAUAACUUAGAAUCCAUUCUCUAGCUAAUCCGACGUCACCUUACAUAUAUGAUGAGUAGUCUAUUUUCUAAUCGCUGUAUUAUUUACCCGUGAGCUUAUAUUUCAUUAUCAUUAUUAUUAUGGCUUACCCCCUGCCAAAAGUAAGUGAUUGUGUGACAAGUUUCUCAAUAGUAAUCAUGUUCUUGUAAGUUUAUCUCUAGUCUAUGCCUUGAUAGAUUUUAUUUUUCUCCACCGUUCUCUUAAGCAAAAUUAUAAAUAACGAUACCUGGAAUACUUUUCUGGUGAAAUGCUACAAUGAGGUAUUUUAUCUGUGUGCUUGCGGAUAGAAUAGAAUAUUUUCUAGAGAGCCUUUACAUUCAUAAAUACCUUUGUACACUCUGGCACCAUGCUGGGAAUGACAACCUAGUAUCCAAGUGGUGUUAGUAAGUGUCAACAAGCAUUUCUAGCGCCAUUGCCGGGGAGCGGUAAGGAAAGUCAGGAAGUCAGUCAAGGUUAUUCACAUAAAAUAUUAGACUAGACUAUAGAGAAAUAAUUGCAUAAAACAGCUACUAAGUGAGAAAUCAUAACAAGGCACCUCUGCUUUGGUAGGUUCACCCUGUUGUUUUUCUAUGUUUAUAUUUUUAUACAGGGUAUAUCAGGAUUGACCUUGGUACAUUCAACUCUUCAUCAUCAGAACCAAAGCAAUCAAGAAAGAAAGAAGAAGGUACCUACCAAUUGCAGAAGCUAUGGCACAAAAGACCUUGCAAGAAUUCUCUACUCCAAGUCUUGAGAACAUUCCAACUGGUCCAAGAUUUGCAGUAGAAGAAGGAGCACCCGAGUUCGAGCUCAAGUCAAGCCUCAUCAAUUUGGUACAUGCUACACAAUUUUGUGGAAAGGCACAUGAAGAUGCUAGUACACACUUGCAGAAUUUCUUAGAGAUUGGAAGCACAAUCCGCAUCAACGGAGUUGAUAAAGACGUCAUACUGCUUCGCCUUUUUCCAUUCUCACUAGAAGGGAAAGCAAGGAAGUGGUUCUACACCCAUCAAGAUAACAUCAACAACUGGACGAACUUGUCAGAUGCCUUUCUAUCAAAGUUUUUCCCUAUAGGCAAAACAGCUGCCUUAAGAGGAAAUAUUGUCAGUUUCCAACAGCAGAAGAUAGAAACCAUUCCAGAAGCAUGGGAGCGUUUUCAAGGAUACAUAUCAGAUUGUCCUCACCAGGGAAUGGCCAGAUGGUUACUUAUGCAGACCUUCUACCAUGGAUUAACCCAGAAGGCUCGUGAGUGCCUAGAUGCAUCUGCUAAAGGAUCAUUCUUGGAGCUUACAAUUGGAAAAGUAGAGAUACUUUUGGAUAAGAUAGCAGAAAACCAAAGCUGGUUCCAAGAUAAAGCUCAACAAUGUCAUCAAACUGAAGAAAUAUCAGAAGAAGUAAAUGCAUUAUCAACCAAGAUAGAAAAUUUGCUCCAUUGGAUUGACCAGAGGGCCAACUUCAAAGAAGAUCAAAGGGCCACCGAGACAGUAUACAAAUAUCAACCCACUUCGAGUCAACCCAAUAGCAAAGGUAUGAAUUCAGGUAACACUUUCAAGCAACUUUCAUUAAAAGGGAUAAUUGCUCAACAAACCAAAACUAAUGAUGAAGUUAAACAAAGGCUCGAUACAAAUAAAUCAUCUCUAAAAGAUAUACACAAUAAAAUGGAUUUUCUAUUAACUACCUUUGAUGAGCAAAACACUCUAAAUAAAAGGGUAGAGCUUAAAUUAAUAAAGCUAACUGCUGUAUUGCCUGUUGCCACUAACAUUGAGCAGGUAAAGAACAUAACUACUAGAGGAGGGAAAGCCACCAGGGAUCCCCCAUACCAAAAAGAGAAACAAAGAAUAUCAGCACCAGUGCAACCAGCAGUAAUAGAAGAAAAAAGCCUAGUUGAAGCAGAAGAUCUGCUACAACCACCAAGUACUGGACAAAUGAGGAAAGAUUUUUAUGACACCAACUAUUUGCCAUUUCCUAGAAGAAACAGAGGACUGCAGUCGGAUGAGCAGUUUGGUAAGUUUGUAGAGGUCAUUCAGAAAUUAUAUGUCAACAUACCUCUGCUUGAUGCCAUACAGGUACCCACAUAUGCAAAGUACAUCAGAGAUAUUCUUAACAAGAAGAGACCACUGCCCACCACUGAGGUUAUCAAGCUGACAAAAGAAUGUAGUGCGGCCAUCCUCAACAAACCACUAAGGAAGAAGAAGGAUCCAGGAUGUCCCACCAUUGAUUGCUUGAUCAGAAACCAACACUUCAAUAAUGCACUUUGUGAUCUCGGAGCAAGUGUCAGUGUGAUGCUAGCAUCAGUCUACAAGAAGCUUGAGUAUACGACCCUAGAACCAACAUCAAUGUGCCUACAACUAGCAGAUCAAUCAGUUCGACACCCGUUGGGCAUCGCCGAAAAUGUCCCAGUCAAGAUCACAGAUUUCCUUGUGCUAGUAGACUUCGUGGUACUAGACAUGAAUCCCGACUCAAAAGUGUCUAUCAUCCUUGGAAGACGAUUUCUGAGCAUUGCCAAUGCCCACAUCGAUGUUGGAAAAGGAGAACUCAAGUUCAACAUAAACGGAAAAGAAGAACACUUCACAUUCAAGCCCAGACCAGAGAGAGACUCUACGGUGAAGGAAGUUCAUGAAGAAGAACCACUGGACACACCAUGUCCAGAGGAAGGUAAUUCAGAAGAUUAAAAGAUUUGGAGGUCCAGCUUGGGGGACCUAAAAAUCCCAAACCCUCGCUGGGAGGUAAAUCGGUAUUUAUCCACAUUGUUUAAAUUCUCUCAUAUUUAAUUCCUGCAUUAUCUAUAUUUACUCAUAGCAUUAUUAUAAUAAUCAAAAGCCCCAUAUAAAUAAUAUUUAUGGUGUGUGACAACCCAUAUUUCUUAAUUAUUGUGGAGGCACAAAAAUAUUUUCCAUUAUCAUUUCAAUAAGUUUCAAUUCUCAUAAAUUUUCCUACAUUAUAUUAUUCAUAGCAACCUUCCAGAAGCAUGCACCACACCUCACACACAUCCCAUCACAUCUUGUGAUCCACCAAUAUGUUUCCACUCACCAGCAUUUUUCAACCGACCAACCACCACCCAACAUUAUUCUUUGGCGUAAAGAUUAAGCAAAGGAGGGAAUAGAAAAGUUGCAGCCAGGAUGACCACCAAAGGUGGGCGCCCGCCCACCUACAGAGGGCGCCCGCCCUGUCCCCCCUUCAGCCUAUAAAAGGCCACCUCUUGCCUCCAACUUCUUCACACAAGCAUUCCAGAAAACCACGCAAGUUUCAGUUUCCAGAGAGGGAGCUCUAGUAGUGAAGUGAGAAGGAGAGGAGAGAAAGAGAAGAGUGAAAGGGAGGUUGGUAGUCUUUGAGUAAGAGAAUAAGGUUCACCUAGUAAGUAGUGAUCCCGCUGUCCAGAGUAGAAGUAAAAGUUGUUUAGGGGGAGGUGCUGCCAAAAUAAAAACUUGUCAUAAACGACUAACCCCUGGACUACUGACAUUUCGGACAGGUGACCGCUAACAUUUUUCUCUCUCACAUUUUCCACUAGUUGUGUUUGUGUCAACUUUUAUCUGCAGGAUGUUCAAGAAGGUGAAGAACGCAGGGAAGGCCCUCAAGAACAUUAGUACGAGGAGCUCAUCCCGACACUCCUCACACCAGUCAGAGAUGAGCGUCGACCCGACGCCCCCGCAAGCUCCGUCAUCUUCAUCUGAUCUGCGAGUCAAGGUCCUCCUCAAGAUAGGAGACCUUGGACUGAAGACCCGUAGGGAAAAGGAAGUUUUCUAGCAGCUAAAGAACAAGGAUUUCAUUCACACCCCCACUCUUGAUCCUAUCUUGCUACAAGAAAUAGGUAUGGAUACUGAAUUUGACUUAAUUUUCCAGAUGGUGGGAUGGACAAAUUUUUGGAACAUAACUGAGCUGGGUUCCCGUCUUCUCACCCUUGAAUUUCUUUGCACUUUACAAUAUUAUGAGGGGGAAUCGCAUUUCGGAUGUUCAAACAGGACAUUAUGUUGUCUUGGAGAGAAUUGAGCGACCAUCUCGGUUUCUCUUCAAGAUGCAUCUUGGACAUUGACUCCGACUUGCCCAAUUUUGAGAGACACCAAUUCUGGAGAGAAAUAUCUAGGGAUGAGUUUUAUAGUCAGGCCCGAACCAGCAACAUGGAACAUCCCACUCUUAGAAUGUUCCACAAAUGGCUCGGGUACAAUCUGUUCCAUCGUGAUGAUAUUAGAAAAGUAAGAGUAGGAGAUUUGCAACUUCUAUAUGCUGCUAUAAAUAAAAUACCCACUUCACCUGUUACUCUCUUGGUUUCCCAUUGGCUUAGUAUACCUAGUCUUCAGGGACCUGUCGGUUGUACUUCACUCAUCACUCGUCUAGCUUCUAGUCUUCAUUUGCUAGAAAACUCGUCAUUGGAAUUCAUUGACGAGUUACGAAUUUAUCAUGGCUAUGACACAUUUAGGCAAGCUCGGAUGCUGAAAAAAGAGGGGAACGAAAUGUAUAUGUUAUAUGAUAAUAAAGGCAAGAUUCGGUUACCUAACCCGAACCUUGGCCUCUAUGUUAUUCAAAAUUAUUUGAUUGAGAUUGCAGUGACACCGGUAAACCAGAGAGCUAAACAACGAGUGGUAUCUGAAAGGAUGACCACCCAUCAAGAACGCACCUGGUAUGGAGCUGAUCCCGGGCCGGAAGAAGCAGUGCACCUGCAUUGUUGCGACUACAACCCCCGAGUCCUUCGGGACCCAUGGGUUCGACAUGCUCAACCAAAAGAGCCAACACAGGAGACAUGGCCGGAGGGCCAAGAUCACCAGUGGACAAACCCGCCUUUCCAUAUGGGCAGGUACUCCACUGAUCCAUAUGGAGCAUCAAGAUCUAGAUCCCAGCCCCAAUUCGAUGCAGGAUGGUACUCCGACGCCUCUUAUGCUUUCACGAACGACUACUACCGAGAGGCCGGCGCUUUCUUCACCCGUACCGACAACACCCUCCUCGACAUCCAGAAUACGCAAGUGGAACAUGGACGACUCCUAGAACAGCAACAAAAGUGGAACCAGGACCACGCCACUGCAGUACAAGAACUGAGGCAAGACACCACGACAAUGAACGACAACAUCACCACCAUGAUGCGAUUCUGGAACAUUGGGUAAGACCGACAACCACAUCUAGCUUGGGGGAGUUUCUCCCCGUUUUAUCAAGUAAGUUUUUAUUCGCUCUUCUUAUUUAUUCUUUUUUGUUUUAGUGUUUUAUUUAUCUUAAAGAGAAAAACUUAGAAAACCCAAUAAAUAUUUUCUUGCUUUAAUUUACUGCAUUCUAUAAACAUGAAAACAAAAUAAAAAGGGUGUGUAGAUAAGUGUGCUUUAUUUAUCUGCUAAGUGUUAAUCUCUAGAAAAAUAAAAAGACCAAAAAGAUGCUUGAUGGAAAUGAUGAACAGUUGCUUUGUUUGCUUACUUUCAAGUACCUAGCUUUUACAUUAGAGUUCUCCCAGGAAUUACUAAAACUAAAAUUUAAUAUCUAUAGGAGCAUGAGCCUAAAACCAAAGUCUAGGUGAGAGAAGGACAUGAUAUAAAGUUUGAGCUAUUGUUUAUCUUGUUCCUACUACACUAAGUUCUGGAGAUUUAUUUUGAAAACUUGCAAAUCACAUGAUGAGUUCCUAGCAUGACAAAAUUCCUAGCACAGCCAUAUGUUAUAAUUUCUACAUCUUUUGCUACUUAUAUUCACAUUGAAUCUGAUCGAGCUGUGUAGACCCUUAGGAGCUUUUCAUGUGGUUAAAUUAAGAUAUUCACUUGCACACAUCCACUACACCAUCCACCACCAUUCAUUAAAAUUGCUAAAAGUGUUGUCACUCACUGUCCCAAGUAUUGUUAUUCUCUCUCUCCAAAAAGAUUCAAUGCAGAAGAGGCAUGGGUUAUGCAAAAAUAUGCGAGGAAAUAAAAAGGGACAAGUGCCCGGAACCUCAAAAAAGAAAGAAAAAGAGUGAGACGAGAGGUAAAAAUGGACAAGUGUCCGGAGUAGAAUUAGGGGUACAAAGAUGCCCACUUGAGCGGAAAAAAAUGGACAAGUGUCCGACAGUAGAAUUAGGGGUAUCUACUACCCACCUAAAAAAAGAGAGAAAAAGAUAGCCC